rnacentral:lncRNA from 1 species
AAAAAAAAUGUGAAUAUGAAUACAAAAACGAAUAGGAAUAGGAAUAGGAAUACGAAUACGAAUACGAAUGCGAAUACGAAUACGAAUACGAAUACGAAUACGAAUAGGAAUACAAAUAUGAAUAUGAAAGCACGCCUUUGGAUGACGCCAAGACCUCGGAAAUAUAGUUAGUGUACGCCUUGAGUGUCACCAUAGUUUCGAAACUAAUUUGAAAGUACGCCUCUAGACAUCGACUGAGUUUCGAAGACAUACGCCUUUGGAUGUCGACAGAGUUUCGGAGAUACGUCUAAUGUACUCUUUUGGAAGUCACUAGAACAUCGAAUAUACAGUUAAUGUAUGUUUCUGAGUGUAUCCAAAUAUUCGAAAAUACAACUAAGUAUAGUAGAUAAUCGACAUUCGAGUGUAGUAUAACUAAGAUAUCAGAAUACCUAACAAAUACAACUAAGUAUAGUAGAUAAUCGAUAUUCGAGUGUAGGAUAACUAAGAUAUCAGAAUACCUAACUAAUACUAUAAGUAUGGUAGAUACUAGUACAUCGAAAUUCGAACUAAGAACUAACCGCAACGUUUUGGAAAAUAUGGGAUUUUCCUGGGAUAACAUAACAACUCGUAAACGAAUGGUGUAAUGAAUGGAAAACUAAGCUAAUAGGAAAAUAUGGGAUUUUCCUGGGAUAACAUAACUACUCAUAAUCGAAUCGUGUAACGAAUAAUAACUAAACUGUUUUUAUAUAAGAAAAUAUGGGAUUUUCUUUAAUAACGUCUUUUUCAGAAAACCAAAAGGGAACUCAUUCUUUUCAAAACUAAACCGCUUAUGAAUUCACCAGCUUUCUCUUGAUUUUCAAACUGCUUGUAUUCUCAGGUCAGCAUUAGACAGGUACACCGCCAUCUUUUGGAGAAGACAAAGCGUUUGGAAGACUCGUCUUUGCUUUUUUUCAUAUGAUAUAUAUAUAUAUAUAUAUAUAUAUNUAUAUAUAUAUAUAUAUAUAUAGAUAUAUAUAUAUUUAUGACCUUUAUAAUUCUUUGUUUUCAAACAAUGUAAAUAUUUCUAUGUAAUGUAAUGUUUUGUGUUUACUAUGCUUACUAUGUACAUUGGUUGCGAUAUUCAUGACGUCCUCCGCCCCGGAAUGUUUCCGCCUUCGGUUUCGGGGUGUGACACAAGUUAUCUUGGUCAAUUAGAUUAUUUUGGAGUAGUAAAGUUUUGAUCUUAAAAGCUUGAGACAUUAUAAUGGAUAAAGUUGGAUAAAGCAAGUUUAUCUAUCUAUACAUCAUAUUGAUUUAGAUCUGAAGGUUGAAGACAUGGACUUAAUGGAUUAAGUUGAGAAAUAUGCAUUUUAGGUCCCUUUGAGACUUAAAGACCAGAUCUUGGUUGUUUGGAUCAUCCUAAAGGAUAAAUUUGAAAACUUUAUCCAUUAUGGAUCUAUUAAGAACCAUACAAAUGUGAUCUUGGUCCUUAUAUCCCUUCCAUGCAAGAUUCAUGGUGUCUUAAUGGAUUAUUAAUUUAAGGUUUUAGCUUUUCAACCUUGUCUAGACAUGGAAAGUGAUAAAGGCGGAAGAUUUAUGACUUCGAAUGAUGUUAUGGGUCUAGAUCUGAGUGUUAGAUGAAUUGACUUUAGAGUAUAAACACUUAAUGGAAAAAGUGUCGUCUGACCGAGUAUGAUGGGCGUACUUUUGAGUUCGUUGCAUGUACUCGUAUGGUGUCCUGUUUCUAGAUGGUGAGUAUGACAUGCGUACGAGCUGAGUACGUUGGGCAUACUCAGCCUGAAGUUUGACUUCUUCACUUGUUGACUUUGACCUUUGGCCAGGGUUUCGAUCAAGUUUGACCUAAGGGUAUUUUGGUUAUUUGGGACAAUAUUUUGAGACAAGGUCAUUGUUUGUUGGCAUAAUUAGUUGUGUGUUAUUCAUCUAUCUUUUCGAACUGAGAGGUGAUUUUUCCUUACUGUAUUUGUGGGUCGAAAGCAUCAAUGUCGGCCCACUAGGUUAUGUAUCCUGGUAUAUGGGAUGUUUUUGAAAGACACCAACUUUCGUAUUUCUGAAAGACCCAAACUUUCAUACUUCACAAUACUAUUACUCCAAAACAUGCUACUUGCAUAUUCAUAAAAGCAAUAUUUUACAUUGAUAAAAAGGUUACAAACUACUGGAUACAAACUGACUAUUACAAAGUGUUAUAUAUUACAUAACUACCCAAGAUAUUGUAAUUUAUAUAAACAUAAAGUGAAGUAGAAAAGUAUUAUUACAAACUAUUCUAAUUCUUUCAACAAUAUAUGAUUAUACUGGUUAUUUAUCACCUGCAAUUGUUAAACAUUGAUAGGGUAAGCGGUGACGCUUAGUGAGUUCAAUAAUAGAUACAAUGUAAUGUUAUGUCAUAUAUAUAUACUUCAACAUGGCAGAAGCAAAGAGAAUCAAGGAGCAACAAAGGCAUAUGUGAAUCAUCUGCUAAGCUUUCCAUAUAAAAGAAUAACAUUCAUUCAAAGGUAUACAAUCAAUGAGACAUAACAAUUUCCAUACUUGGUAUACAUCAAUAAAGCUUCGGCCCAAAUGGCACAAAAGACAUAAGAUUUCUGAUUAACAUCUUGGUAGAUUUCAAGCUUAUAGCCCUGUCUAACCAUUUGCCAAUGCCAUAGAAGAGAAGUCAUUCUCUUACAGAGACAUGCUCUACAUGAAUAGAGGCUACGUACCAGUACCAAUGUGAAUCUAAGUCCUUUCACUGAUCACAUGGUCAAAGGUAUUACUUUUGCUAUAGAAAUAGUGAAUAAAAUAUCAUGGGAAAAUAACUUGGAAUAAUAACUCUGAAAAGCACAUAGCACAUAUAAAACACAACAUACAAUUGUUUCUAUAUAUUAAACUCACCUUGAAUUAACUAACGGUCAAAAUAGUAAUUUGGGCAGCGCUUCGGCUUUAAAUAUGACUUUCUAUGUUGAAAACCGAGAGCUUAAUUGAAAACCAGGCUCUGCGAAGGCAGGGCUUCAAAAUUGAAAAGAUAAAUUUUUCGGGCUUCUCGGGCACUUCGUGGCGUAUUUCAGGGGUUAUAAUCGAUAUCGGGGCUUCAGGGAUUUUUAAUAUGAAGAAAAUAUGGAAAAAGGGGUAAAAUAUAGCAAUUUUUAAAGAUUACCCGGGAUGGCUCACAGCCCUCCUUUUAUAGGGCCAAGGUUCGAAUGGUGCGUUGGCAGAAGGAACACGCGGCGUUAGGAGGCGAAGGCAAAGGGCGCAGUAGCGAGGCUCGGACGCAGCAGCUGGCUUGGAUGCGAGGGUCUGACGCUAGACGUCGCCUAUGCGAGGCGGCCAGGUGCGAGGCUCGAAAGGGUGACAAGGGGCGAGGUGCGUCGGAAGUUUGGUGGGCCGCGACUUCGGAAGAAUCGAAAUGCAACAUGCGUCGGAUCCGGGUAGAGCGGUUACUCUUCAUGCAAGGUGACGUAGCUUAGUGCUGACCAUGCGAAAAUUUCUGAUAUUAUCCACUUAUUUCUCGGUUUUUGAGCGAAAAUCUUCUAAAAUCCAUAACUUUCGCAUACGGGCUCCGUUUUUUACGUUCUUUAUAUGCACGCGUAGGUAAAAUUACGCUCUACAGACUUCGUCGGCUAAUUUUGACUUUAAUUUUUAUAUUAUUAUUUUUAACAGAUCGGGACAGGUAAAUCCGUUAAAAAUUCAUAACUUCUUCAUCCGUCAUCUGUUUUUGUCAGACUUUUUACCGUUGUACUACUUUUGACGAGAUCUUCAAUUCUCGUUUAGGUUGUGUCGGCUAAAAAUCACUCGAUCUAAAAUUCGAGUUUUUAGUUGUCUACUACUAAGCUGAAACUUGUAAAAAUCAUAACUUCCUCAUACGAAGUCAUAUUUUGGCGUUCUUUUUAUUGAACUUCUCAGUUUAACGAAUACUACGAAUUUCAUUUAGAUCACUAAGGCUAAAAAGUAGUUUAUCAAAAACUCACUUUUUACGUCAUUCGACGCGGUGUCGGUUUUGUCGCGAAUCUUCGAUUAGUCAUAAGUUUUUCGUUAUAACUCGGAUUUCGACGAGGUUUUCGCCUACAAGUUUCUAACGAGAUUAUUUACAACUUUCAAUAAUCAUAUUUUACUUAUUUAAAAUUUUAUAUUUUCCCUAAAUUUCACUAUUUGGCUUUUAACUGGAAUCUCAUAAGACUUCCAAUAUUUUCUGAAUGAUUCUAAACAUAGUUUUACUUGAUUUCUAGUAAAAACUAUCUGUUAGAACUCAACACACAAUUUCACAUAGUAUUUCACAAUUUUAUUCAUUACAAAACAAGAUUUCAAAACAUGUAUGUUACAAAUACCUCCUCCUUUUGAAGAUUUCGUCUCCGAAAUUACAUUGAUUAAAAUAAAUGGGGAUAUUUCGCUCUUAUCUCAUUCUUAUUUUCCCAAGUAUAAUGUGGGCCUCGAUGGAUUUUCCACUUGACAAGCACCAAUUCUACUUCUUUAUUACGUAGCUUAGUUUUCUUUCAUUCACGAUCUCUUCAGGCUCUUCGACAUAUCUUAACUUAUUAUCCAAUAUCACUUCAGAUAAUGGAACUGUCUCAUCGUAGAUGCACAAGCAUUUGCAUAGAUAACUCAUAUGAAACACAUCAUGCAUACCUGCCAAAUCUUCAGGUAAUUCUAAUCGGUAUGCCUGCUUUCAAAUUCUCUGGAUGAUUUUGAAAGGUCCAACAAAUCUAGGACUCAACUUUCCUUUCUUCCCAAAUCUCAUAAGGCCUUUCCAUGGAGAUACCUUCAGCCUUACAAAAUCACCCACUUGGAAUUCUAUUGGUCGUCUUCUCUUUUAUGUAUAGGACUUAUGUCGAUCCUGGUCCGCUUUCAUUCUUUCUCGUAUGAUUUGGAUCUUAUCGGUGGUGUCUUGAAUCAUUUCAGGGCCUCCAAGGAUCUUCUGUCCUACAUCACGCCAACAUAAUAGUUUACGACAUUUGUGACCAUAUAAUGCUUCAUAUGGUGCCAUUUUGAUUGAAGCAUGGUAAUGUUAUUAUAUGAAAAUUUGACAAGAGGCAAGUAUUUAUCCCAGUUACCACCGAACUCCAAGACACAUGCACGAAGCAUAUCUUCUACUAUUUGGAUUGUUCUCUCUGUCUGACCGUCUGUCUGGGGAUGAUAAGUUUUGCUGAGGGCAACUCGAAAUCCCAAUUCACGUUGCAUACUCGCCCAAAAAUGAGAGGUGAAACGAGUAUUGCGAUCGGAAAUGAUCUUUAGUGGCACACCAUGUCUUGCAACAAUUUAAUCUAAGAAUACAUGUGCGUAUUUCUCCAUUGGAGUCGUUUCACGCAUGGCGAGAAAAUGUGCACUCUUAGUCAGGCGGUCGACGAUUACCCAAAUGCUAUCAUGCUGUCUAGCAGUCUUUGGCAAUUUGGUAAUAAAAUCCAUGGACAGCUCUUCCCAUUUCCAUACAGGAACACUGAGACUUUCUGGGGUUGCGUAUGGUUUUUGGUGCUUUGUUUUAACUUGUAAGCAUACUAAGCAUUCCUGCACAUAUCGUCCAAUGUCUCUCAUUAAUCCAGGCCACUAAUAAUCAGCUCUUACAUCAUAAUACAUUUUACUUGUACCAGGAUGUAUUGACAGCAUAGACUUAUGAGCUUCAUCUAAAAUCUUCUGUGUUAAUCCACCAAUCUUUGGAAUCCAUAGCUGAUUCUUAAAUACUUUUAAUCGUCAUGGAUCUUCAAGUAAAACAUCAGCAUAAUGUACCAUCCCUUCCUUCUUCACAUUUUCUGGCUUUAAGGCCUCAACUUGCCACUUCUGCUAAGUGCAUCUGCAACUACAUUAGCCUUUCCAGGAUGGUACAGGAUUUUGCAGUCAUAGUCUUUGAUCAGCUCCAUGACUCGUUGUUGUCUCAUAUUCAGAGUUUGCUGACUGAAUAUAUACUUGAGACUCUUGUGGUCGGUAAUCAAUUAGCAUUUCGUACCAAAAAGAUAAUGUCUCCAAAGUCUUAGGGGAAAUACCACUGCAGCGAGUUUGAGAUCAUGGGUGGGAUAAUUCUUUUCAUAAUCUUUCAGUUUUCUUGAGGCAUAGGAUAUCAAUUUACCACGUUGCAUGAACACACAACCGAGUCCCAAUCUUGAAGCAUCUCUAUAUAUGGAGAAAUCAUCAUCACCUUCUGGAAGUGAUAAGAUGGGAGCAUGAGUCAAAAGAUCUUUUAAAGUCGAGAAGGCCUUUUCUUGGGCUUCACCCCAUUCGAACUUUGCUUCCUUUCGAGUAAGACUAGUGAGAGGUACAGCUAUACGAGAAAAGUCUUUAAUGAAUCUUAGGUAAUAACCCGCAAGACCCAUGAAACUACGAAUUUCAGAAGCAUUGCGUGGCACUUCCCAUCUUUGAAUGGCUUCGAUUUUGGUAGGAUCUACGGAUACACUGUCACCAGAAAUAAGAUGGCCGUGAAAUUCAACUUGGUGAAGCCAAAAUUCAUAUUUCGAGAAUUUAGCAUAAUGUUUUCCUUUCGAAGAAGUUCUAAGAUUUCACGAAUAUGAAUGACAUGAUCAGCUUCGGACUUGGAAUAGAUUAGAAUAUCGUCAAUGAAUAUGUUGACAAACUUAUCGAGCAUUGGGCGGCAUACUCGAUUCAUCAUAUCCAUGAAUACAGCAGGAGCAUUUGUCAAACCGAAUGCCAUGACAAGGAAUUCGAAAUGCCCAUAACGAGUACGGAAAGAAGUAUUCGGUACAUCUUGCUCUUGUACUUUCAACUAAUGAUUGCCAGAUCUCAAAUCAAUCUUUGAGAAAUAGGUAACACCCUGAAGUUGAUCGAACAAAUCGUCGAUGUGAGGUAGUGGGUACUUGUUCUUUAUAGUCACCUUAUUCGGCUCAUGAUAAUCAAUGCACAUUCGCAUCGAUCCAUCCUUCUUCUUGACAAACAAUACUGGAGCACCCUAGGGAGAGGUACUCAGUUAAAUAAAGCCUUUGUCUAGUAAUUCCUGCAGUUGGAUCAUCAUUUCUUUCAUCUCGGCUGGCACAAGACGAUAAGGAGUCUUUGCAAUCGGAGCAGCACUAGGCACAAUGUCAACUCAGAAUUCUACUUGCCUGUCCGGAGGAAGUCCAGGGAGAUCAUCGGGGAAAACAUCAGGAUAUUCGUUAACAAUGGGAACAUCAUUUACAGUUUUAUUCUCCUUUCUUGAGAUGUCAACUGUAUAUAUAGGCUAGAUAGAUAGGGCAACCCUUCGAUAUAAAUUUAUGAGCUUUGAGGAAAGAAAUUAUUUUUAACAUCCUUUGUUCACCGUAGACAUGAAUAGGAUCUUCCCCUUCAAUAGGAAUGCGUACCAUCUUUUCGUAACACAAGAGCUCUGCGUGGUUCUUUGACAACCAAUCCAUGCCGAGAAUAAUAUCGAAGUUGGGAAAGGAGAUAAGGAUUUGGUUAGCAAGAAAAUUAUAUCCUUCAAUUUCUAUGACACAAUCCCUAUAGAUUUUAUUAGCAAGUAAUGAUAUACUUCCCGUAGUAUCAACGUGAAAUGGUUGCGCCAUUGCAUAGCAAGUAGUUUGAAAAGAAUGUGCAAAUUCAUAAGAUACAAAAGAAUCUGAGGCACCAGAAUCAAAUAAGAUGUGAGCAGGUCUAGAGUUGACAAGAAAUGUACCCGUCACAACAUUCGGGUCCUCGUGUGCUUCCUUAGUGGUAAUCUAGAAUGCACGACCCUUAGCUUUUGGCACCUCCUACUUUUUAGCUGGAGUAUUCUUUGGUUGUUGGACUGGGACUUGACUUCUCGUCGGUUGUUGAAUAGAAGCUUGACUUCCCGUCACUUGGCUGGUAAGAGUAGGGCAAAAACGCUUCUUGUGGCCAGUAAUACCACAUGCAUAGCAAGUCACAUCCGUCUUUGGGAAAGCUGGCUUUAUAUGACUAGUUUCUCCACACCCAUAACAGUCAAUGGAUUCCUUGUCUAUUUUAUAUUUACCUGGGUGAUUCCUUCCACAAACACGACAUGAAGGUGAUUGAAUAGAAAAAGAUUGUGACCUGCCGCGGCCACGAAAAGCACUUUGAGAUUGCGCUUGCUUGCUAGGAUCAGUUCGAACAGAUUGAGCCGGUGGAAUAGUGAAAACAGGAUUAGUUCUUUCAGUACGUGGAUGCUUUGGAACAGUAAGAGUGGCACCACGUAUCUCUAAGUCAUUCUCACGCCUUCAAGCAUACUCAACAGCUUUAUCAAACGACAAAACAUCCCGAUUGGCUACAAAAUCAUGGAUUUCAUGUCGUAGUCCCUCCAUGAAUAACUGAAUUUUCUCGUCUUCAGUUGGAAUAUACUUUGUAGCAAACCUUGCUCUUUGAUUAAACCGAGUUUAUACUCAUUCAUAGUCAUUCCUCCUUGUUUAAGCUCGAGGAAUUCCUUCUCCAAUCUUCUCCUCAUAUCUAGAGGAUAAUACUUCUCUAGCACACGAGUUUUGAACAACUCCCAGGAUAAAUUCUCCUAGUCAUAUCCGUUGAGAGCUUCAUAUGUUGCUUCCCACCAGACCAAGGCUUCUCCGAUGAGCAUUGCAGAAGCAUAGAUAGCCUUGUCUUCAUCAUCCACAUGAGAGACACGAAAUACUUUCUCGGUGUUCUGAAUCCAAGUUAGAGCAACUAUGGGAUUAAGGACACCAAAAAACUCUGUAGCACCACUACUCUUGAAAUAUUUGAACGAGGAACGCUUCACCUUUCCGCUUGAAGAAUCUCUAGUGGCUUUCUCUUUUCCUUUAUCACCAUUCUUUUUGUGUUCUUCGAGAGUCUAUCGAAUAAAACCAGUAAGUUUACCCAAGAGUCGAUCCUCACGAGGAGAGAGUAUUCACNAUUCACUUCCUCGGGUUGAGGACCUCCACCAACCUCAGGGGUAUGGCUACUUACUUGUUCAGCCAUCGUUCUGAAAUUUAGGAGUAAUAUAGAAUUUUAGAAUAUUAGGAUUUAUUAAAGCCUAGUAUUUCAAUUAUGUCUUUCCUAUGGUUUGUAUCCAUAUACAUAUAAUGAUUCAGUUCAUAUAUUGAACUUCCAAUAGUUUAAGUCUAAAUACAAUCUGUGGCAUUUAGUUCACUUAAACUACUACUCUGAUACCAUGAUUGGAAGACCCCAAUUUUCGUAUUUCUAAAAGACCUAAACUUUCAUACUUCACAAUACUAUUACCCCAAAACAUGCUACUUGCAUAUUCAUCAAAGCAAUAUUUUACAUUGAUAAAGAGGUUACAAACUACUGGAUACAAAGCGACUAUUACAAAGUGUUAUAUAUUACAUAACUACCCAGGAUAAUGUAAUUUAUACAAACAUAAACUGAAGUAGAAAAGUAUUAUUACAAACUAUUCUAAUUCUUUCAACAAUAUAUGAUUACACCGGUUACUUAUCAACUGCAAUUGUUAAACAUUGAUAGGGUAAGUGGUGACGCUUAGUGAGUUCAAUAAUAGAUACAAUACAAUGUUAUUUCAUAAAUAUACUUCAAUAUGGCAGAAGCAAAGAGAAUCAAGUAGCAAAAAAGGCAUAUGUGAAUCAUGUGUUAAGAUUUCCAUAUCAAACAAUAACUUGAUUCAAAGGUAUACAAUCAAUGAGACAUAACAAUUUCCAUACUUGAUAUACAUCAAUAAAGCUUCGGCCCAAAUGGCACAGAAAACAUAAGAUUUCUGAUUAACAUCUUGGUAGAUUUCAAGCUUAUAGCCCGGUCUAACCAUUUGCCAAUGCCAUAGAAUAGAAGUCAUCCUCUUACGGAGACAUGCUAUACAUGACCAGAGGCUACGUACCAGUACCAAUGUGAAUCUAAGUCCUUUCACUGAUCACAUGGUCAAAGGUAUUACUUUUGCUAUAGAAAUAGCGAAUAAAAUAUCACGGGAAAAUAACUCGGAAUAAUAACACUGAAAUGCACAUAGCACAUAUAAAACAUAACAUACAAUUGUUUCUAUAUAUUAAAUUCACCUUGAAUUAACCGGGGGUCAAAAUAGUAAUUUGGGCAGCGCUUCGGCUUUAAAUAUGACUUUCUAUGUUGAAAACCGGGAGCUUAAUUGAAAACCGGGCUCUGCGAAGGUAGGGCUUCAAAACCGAAAAAAUAAAUUUUCCGGGCUUCUCGGGCACUUCGUGGCGUAUUUCGGGGGUUAUAAUCGAUAUCGGGGCAUCGGGGAAUUUUAAAAUGAAGAAAAUAUGGAAAAAGGGGUCAAAUAUAGCAAUUUUUAAAGAUUACCCGGGAAGGCUCGCAGCCCUCCUUUUAUAGGGCCGAGGUUCGGACGGUGCGCUGGCAGAAGGAACACGCAGCAACAGGAGCCGAAGGCAGAGGGCGCCGCAGCGAGGCUCGGACGCAGCAGCUGGCUCGGAUGUGAGGGUUGGACGCUAGACGUCGCGCAUGCGAGGCGGCCAGGUGCAAGGCUCGGAAGGGUGACAAGGGGCGAGGCGCGUCGGAUGUUGUGUGACAACCCAAGUUUGUUCCGUUACAUUUCCCCGUUACUAUUAACGAAAUAUCCCCUUUUGUAAAAGUUCCCUUAAUUAGAGGCCACCAAUUAAAUAAAUAUUUCAUUUAUUUAUAUCUUUAUGUCGUUAAGUCGUGAUAAGAGAAAUAAAAACUCGUAAUACACAUUUCCAUUUAAUUGGAAAAGUUAGUUUUUAUUAUCACGACCACUAAAUCGGGUGCGACCAAAAGCCCCGUAUAAUGGCAGUAUCGGGUAGAAUUCCACUGAGCUCCAACUCCCACCCAUAUAUAAGGGGGAGUAAACUCCAUUUGAGCCUUUUCCACCCUCUCUCUCUAUACUCUCUCUCUAGACUCGUUUUCGACCCGAAUCCGCAACCAAACGCUUCCAAAUCGUAAGUCCACUUAUCCUAACUUGUUCUAAACAUUAUGAUUCGUGUUUAUAGCUUAAAAUUCGACCAUUUAAGCUGUUGAAAAGGAGUUCACGGCCUAAGAUCCUCCUUAGGCCGUAAACACCUUAAAUAUGGCCAAAAAGACCCAAACUUGUCCCUAAAAGCUUGGAAAUAAAUUGAGGAUUUAGCCUAGGAGUGUUUGAUCAUUUAAAACCAUCAAAAUGAGGCAUAAAAGAGAGUUUACGGCCCAAGCACAUGCUUAGGCCGUAAACACCUCUAAACCUUGUCAAAAUGCGACAAACACACUCGCAAAACACCCUUAGGCUUAAUACAUAAUUUAGGGACUUGAUAUUUCAGGUUUAGUACAAUUAAACACAAUGAAAUGAAGGGACAAAAGGAGUUUACGGCCCAGAAAUGUGUCAAGGCCGUAAACACCCUCAAACAUGCCAAAACAUUGAUUUUUAUUCCCCAAAUGGCCUUAGACUAUUACUAUAAAAUGCUAGGAGUGAUUUAAGGGCUUAAAACUUCACUUAACUCAUGGCAUAGGAGUUCACGGCCGUGAACUCCCUUAGGGAUGGUUCAUGGGCCGUAAACUCCAUAAUGGUGCCCUUAAAGACCCUAAACUCAUUUAUACCAUUUAGAUUUUGACCUAGAAAAAUCCGACGAACAAGAUUGAACCCUUAAAACACACUAGAACCCCUCACAAUGAGUUUACGGCCGUAAACUCAUGGGGAGUUGUCCCUAGGCCAUAAACUAAGUGUAGAGAGUUUACUCUCAGAGAGUAAACUCCAUUCCUAAGCCAUACACACCCUUAGAUGUUACCCGGGACACCCCAAACGCUUAACCAAAGUGUUUUCCGCUCCUUAGAGAGCGUAUACUUGUUUAAUUAGUAUUAAAUAUACUAAUUGUAUGUGAACAUAUGUCAUCAUAUGUUAAAUAGGUCAUUGAGUGUGUUCGAGACUUUACUUGACAACCGAACACCCAACCGGCACCUUCGUCGGAUCUACUUACACCAGGUGAGUUCAUACCCCUGAAUGAACCUUUUAAAUGUUUUUACAUGUUUUAUAGGGGGGAAUAAAAGUUAAACAUGCUAGUUAUCAUAUCAAUCACAUGUGAUUGAUAACCCACAUGCACAAGGUUUUUACCACACUGUACACUGUUUUACCGAGUAGGAUGCUAUAAUGGUUUUUAAAAAGGUUUUCAUUUGUUUCAAAACUCUCACUUAAUCUGUUUUAUCUAAAUUCAUUUUUAAACUGGUUUAUAAAGGUUCCAAAGAUUUCUAAAGGUUGUCACACUUAUUUUUCCAAAGAAUACCAAAAUGUGAUUUUCCCCGAGUAUAAAGGUUUUUCCAAGAUUUCAUCAAUGUUCCCUUUCACGACGUAUACUUUUACUUGUUAAUUACUGCUACUUCGCUUCCACUUAUUUUAAACUCCUACUUGAUAACGCUUUCACUUCGCGAUGCGUUUAUACCUGUUAUCGCCUCUAUAUUGCUUAUACUUGUAGUCGCUUAUACCUGAUAUUGUCUCUAUUCCGCUUAUACUGAUAGCCACUUAUACAUGAUAAACGGUUUUACUUCACCAGUUGUCGCUUCCACUUCGUGAUAUACUUAUACUUGGUACACUUAUACUUCACGAUUCGGUUAUUCCACACUGUAGGAUUACACACCACGAUGAUACGUUUCCACUUGUUACACACUCAGUCGUAGUUAGAUGUAUGUAUGUGCUUGUAUGGAUAUAUAUAAAUAAUGAUUGAAGGACUUAGGAAGGUUCGUCCGCCCUAUUUCCUUUUCUUCGUUGAGAUGUGGUCUGGUGGGAUCGGAUGGCCGUCCGAAGGUCGUUUGGUUCGUUAGUUAUAUAUUAUGUAUACGAGUAUAGAUGUAUAGGUAUGCUCUAGUCAGUUCAGUCAUGAGUCUCUACCUCUAGUUCAACACUUACAUUAGAAACCCACUACCCACUAGAAACCCACUACCCACUGUUUGGAAGUCAUUANUAGAAACCCACUACCCACUGUUUGGAAGUCAUUACCCACUAUUUGGGAUGCAUCUUCGGGACACGGCCUUCUCCGUCGUCUAGUUGGUAACCAGAGUCUCCUGUAGGGAGAGCAGACAUUGUGUGUAUAGAUCUAUACGGGAUUGACACCCCCGCACCCUGACUGCUAGCUACAGUCCACGGCCCACCAAGCCAAGGGGUGACAAAUGUCGUAUUUUCUAGACGCUUGUAGGGUGUCUGGUACUCUAGUGUCAGUUAGUGUGGUUACGAGUAUCCCAAGUUACCUUAUAAUUCAUGGCCUUAAGGUAACGGUAUUUCACCAGCAAUUUACACUGUAUGUUGGUAACUCAUUCUCAGAGUCACACUGUUUUUGACCUUGCAAGUUGUAUCUUUCAUUUGAUACUGUCUGCGGUCUAUAUUCUCUGUUUUUGACCUUUCAAGAUGUGUCUUUCAUUUGAUACUAUAUGUGGUCUGUAUUCACUGUUUUAGACNNNNNNNNNNNNNNNNNNNNNNNNNNNNNNNNNNNNNNNNNNNNNNNNNNNNNNNNNNNNNNNNNNNNNNNNNNNNNNNNNNNNNNNNNNNNNNNNNNNNUCGUUCCAAACUGUUCUCAAAUCUCUCCAGGCCGGAGAGUGAAACUUUUCCCAGUAUAAAAGGUAACUUAGUGGGAACGACUCGCAUCUUAUGGCCUUUUCCAAUACUCAUACUCCUACCUUGAUUUCCAGGACUACAUCAUAGGGAUGUAGGUCGACACUCAGACAGCCAAUACCAGAGGCACGGGAAAAAUCUAUGCCUAAUGCAGUCAGGACAGAUAUGUCCAGGGCUAUCCAUCAUCUCUCAUAAUCUUGUAUUCCUUUCCGUGUAGGAAAACCAUGCCACCAAAGAAGCGUAAGUAGUCCACAAGCAAGAAACCUACUCUCUUAUUCGAUGAAGCUACGUUCCAAGCUGCAGUCUCAGCAGCCGUAGNUCCGAUCCUAGCAAUGGACAGCAGCAACCAACACCUUCAUACCCAGUCACCCAAGAACCUCAACCGAACCCACUAAAGAGAAAACUCAAGAUUGAGGAGGGAAGUACCUCGGCUCAAGGACCUUCCGAAGGGCAACGAGCUGAGACAGCUAGCACUCCUGUCAAUCCUUCCCACCUGACUUCAAGAAGACCAUACCUAGGAAACCUUCCCCACUAUAGCAGGUGCAGCUACCAUCAUCAUGGUGCCUGCCGGGAACUCUUAUGUGUUAGGUGCAACAUGAAGGGGCAUACUGCUCGUGUAUGCAGAACUCCGGUGGAACGUAUUGCAUCAAUCGCCAAUGCAGCGACCAAGCAGGUUUGCCGCCUAUGUUGCGAGAUUGGACACCUCAAAAGGGAUUGCCCAACUGAAGGAAACAACAAAGACACAGGAGGAGCCUAACUCUACUGCUUAGGGAGAAGCGUCGAGGAACUCGUUAGGUUUUGGUACGUCUCUCGAUCUCGGAUGACUAAACUAAAAACAAUAAAAGACUAAUUCAAAUGUAAAUUUUUCCCAGUAAGGCGAAAGUCGCAGAACUGUUAUAAAAGUUAAAAAUUCAUCAGGUAAAACUAUAAUGGCUAAACAUAUACGUUACGGCCAUGUACAGUUAAGAUGGACAGACCUAGAGUGAGUGAAUGUCGCCUCAUUUCCUGUUCCUCAUUUGGUUGUGGAUUUAGGGCGAAGUCGCUCAGUCAACAGUCCUCCCCACCUUAAAUAUACAUGACUAGUAUAUGUUAGGCUAUUAUAGAAAUGCCUUGUGAGAAUCCAUUCAUGAAAAGGUACUCUAUUCGGAAACACUUAGGACUCUCUAUAGUUCCACGUCGACUCUAUUGGUCCAAGUACCCGCGGUAGUGAUACACAGGACGAAACCUGAAACGCCUAGAACUUGUGUGCCUGUUCCGCACAUGACUCUAUCGAUCUUCAUUAUAUAUCAUGUCGGAGUGUGCCAACUUCGACGACUCUAUUGAUCGUGGUUUGACUUCGUGCAACCAUGUGUACAUUCUUAGUGCUGUAUAAAAAGAACUUUCUCCGUAGCCAUGUCGGCAAAUAAAGAUUCUCCCGAACCUAAACCUAACACAAAUAAUCAAACCUAAUGCGAUCCGUCAAUCGCCCCUCUUAUCUCAAACCUUCCGAAGUACCCAAGACAGGGUACCAUGCGCCGUUUACCAACCCCUCGUAGUCAGAUGAACACCGAAGUGAAGGACACUGUCGAUACUCCAGAAGACAAUAACCAUCCGGAGCAUACUCCGAAGAAUCCCCAGAAAGACCUUUCGCACCUUUCACGUCGGGUUCGUAAACCUAGAGAUUAGAACUCAUAAGGAAGAACCACUGUAACCAGGUAUAUGCAUAAAGGUGGUAUAUAAUUGAGAUCAAAAAGAUUUAAGGUGUGUGUUUCCUCCCUACUCCCUGUUCCUCGUUGGGUUGUGGGUUUCGGGUGGAGUCGCACAGCUGAACAUCCUGCCGACCUCAAUUUUAUAUUGCUUGCAUACACCAAGUAUUGGUGGUUAAGCCAGGUAUGAGCUCUAUCACGAACCUCUUAGAAAAUCCCUUCAUCCUAUUCCAUAAAAUAGGAGCUGGAGUCAAGAGUAUUACUGCGGGUUGAUCUAUUAAAGUUCCGAGUGAUGAGACCCUAUACUCACUAGAUUUGACCUAGACCGAGAAAACUCAGAACCUUCGGAAAAGUAGUUGCAGUAGAUGUUCGCACUACUCAGGCACUUUGUCCACCCCGUUAUAGACGAACAGUGCCUAUCAUCCUCCACCCUCUUGCAUGGAGGAAAUCGUCGUCACCCUAUAGACGAUAAAAUGCAUCCUCCGAAGUGAACACUAGGAUACCAAGAACCACAAGAUAACCUCCGCAGCCAAGAAUCCUUGAUCGAAGUGUGAAAGUAGCGACGUUAAACCUCAUGACCCAGAUUUCGAAGAGAUUAUAGACUUGACACCAGUCUUGGGGUUAGUCAAAGGGUUAUGUAGGAGCAUGCGCUUUCCGCACGAGAAUGAACCAGAGUCAUAGAGAUUCAUUGGACUAUUAGGUGCUCCAUGAAUACUAUCUCACGCAGAGAUAGUAGAACCACCUCCCGAGAUAGUCCAACACACGUCUGGUGAAACCCUAUCUCCCCGACCCGGAGGGCUUCCGUAUCUCAAGCUUCGUUAGUGCAUGUUCACUUUGCACGGGCUUGAGAUAGACAUUAUUCAGCAAACCGAUAACCAUAGUCACGCAACCCACUCGACGACCUAGAAAGUCUCUAACAGCCAGUUGAUAGGAAACGCGAAACCAAAGACCACCCGAGCUUCAUAAGAACCAACCUGAAGGACUACACAUCCAGUACGAGUGAGAAUGUUAGGAACUUCGGAAUGGUGAUCACGCCAGUGAUAAUCUUGCCAUAGAAGUACACUAUGUUCUAAGUACUGAAAAGCUUUACCCUUCCGAGAGCUUAGGACCAUAUGAGAAUCCUCGUGGAGAUUUGGUCCAACCUUCGACAGACCACUACUCCCUUCAGAUACUCCACAAGAUUCACACCCGAUCGAUCCACUUAUUAGACUUGAUACGGGAUUGCCCGAUGCCAUUCUUCGUGUCCCACUCAUCUUGAUAGAAAGCCAUUGAGAACUCUAACCUCGUAGAUACACCAGUCGGAACUCGCUAACUACAUGAGACGGAAUCCGCUUCCCGUAGGUGAAGGUUUAUUGGAAUGACAAACACAGACCAGAGUUCACUAGGGAAUAAAGGACAAAAUGAAUAGGAAGUACCCUUCUGCCUCUAUCAUUCAUACCUACUUCCCUGCUUAGACCUGAAUUUCGGGACGAAAUUCCCUCUAACGGGGGGAUGAUGUGACAACCCAAGUUUGUUCCGUUACAUUUCCCCAUUACUAUUAACGGAAUAUCCCCUUUUGUAAAAGUUCCGUUAAUUAGAGGCCACCAAUUAAAUAAAUAUUUCAUUUAUUUAUAUCUUUAUGUCGUUAAGUCGUGAUAAGAGAAAUAAAAACUCGUAAUACACAUUUCCAUUUAAUUGGAAAAAGUUAGUUUUAUUAUUACGACCACUAAAUCGGGUGCGACAAAAAGCCCCGUAUAACGGUAGUAUCGGGUAGAAUUCCACUGAGCUCCAACUCCCACCCAUAUAUAAGGGGGAGUAAACUCCAUUUGAGCCUUUUCCACCCUCUCUCUCUAUACACUCUCUCUAGACUUGUUUUCGACCCGAAUCCGCAACCAAAUGCUUCCAAAUCGUAAGUCCACUUAUCCUAACUUGUUCUAAACAUUAUGAUUCGUGUUUAUAGCAUAAAAUUCGACCAUUUAAGCUGUUGAAAAGGAGUUCACGGCCUAAGAUCCUCCUUAGGCCAUAAACACCUUAAAUAUGGCCAAAAAGACCCAAACUUGUCCCUAAAAGCUUGGAAAUAAAUUGAGGAUUUAGCCUAGGAGUGUUUGAUCAUUUAAAACCAUCAAAAUGAGGCAUAAAAGAGAGUUUAUGGCCCAAUCACAUGCUUAGGCCGUAAACACCUCUAAACCUUGUCAAAAUGCCCCAAACACACUCCCAAAACACCCUUAGGCUUAAUACAUAAUUUAGGGACUUGAUAUUUCGGGUUUAGUACAAUUAAACACAAUGAAAUGAAGGGACAAAAGGAGUUUACGGCCCAGAAAUGUGUCAAGGCCGUAAACACCCUCAAACAUGCCAAAACAUUGAUUUUUAUUCCCCAAAUGGCCUUAGAAUAUUACUAUAAAAUGCUAGGAGUCAUUUAAGGGCUUAAAACUUCACUUAAUUCAUGGCAUAGGAUUUCACGGAUGUGAAAUCUCUUAGGGAUAGUUCAUGGGCCGGAAACUCCAUAAUGGUGCCCUUAAAGACCCUAAACUCAUUUAUACAAUUUAGAUUUGGACCUAGAAAAAUCCCACGAACAAGAUUGAACCCUUAAAACACACUAGAACCCCUCACCAUGAGUUUACGGCCGUAAACUCAUGGGGAGUUGUCCCUAGGCCGUAAACUAAGUGUAGAGAGUUUACUCUCAGAGAGUAAACUCCAUUCCUAAGCCAUACACACCCUUAGAUGUUACCUGGGACACCCCAAACGCUUAACCAAAGUGUUUUCCGCUCCUUAGAGAGCGUAUACUUGUUUAAUUAGUAUUAAAUAUACUAAUUGUAUGUGAACAUAUGUCAUCAUAUGUUAAAUAGGUCAUUGAGUGUGUUCGAGACUUUACUUGACAACCGAACACCCAACCGGCACCUUCGUCGGAUCUACUUACACCAGGUGAGUUCAUACCCCUGAAUGAACCUUUUAAAUGUUUUUACAUGUUUUAUAGGGGGGGAAUACAAGUUAAACAUGCUAGUUAUCAUAUCAAUCACAUGUGAUUGAUAACCCGCAUGUACAAGGUUUUUACCACACUGUACACUGUUUUACCGAGUAGGAUGCUAUAAUGGUUUUCAAAAAGGUUUUCAUUUGUUUCAAAACUCUCACUUAAUAUGUUUUAUCUAAAUUCAUUUUUAAACUGGUUUAUAAAGGUUCCAAAGAUUUCUAAAGGUUGUCACACUUAUUUUUCCAAAGAAUACCAAAAUGUGAUUUUCCCCGAGUAUAAAUCUUUUUCCAAGAUUUCAUCAAAGUUCCCUUUCACGACGUAUACUUUUACUUGUUAGUUACUGCUGCUUCGCUUCCACUUAUUUUAAACUCCUACUUGAUAAUGCUUUCAAUUCGCGAUGUGUUUAUACCUGUUAUCGCCUCUACAUCGCUUAUACUUGUAGUCGUUUAUACUUGAUAUUGUCUCUAUUUCGCUUAUACUGAUAGCCACUUAUACCUGAUAGAUGCUUUUACUUCACCAGUUGUCGCUUCCACUUUGUGAUAUACUUAUACUUGGUACACUUAUACUUCAUGAUUCGGUUAUUCCACACUGUACGAUUACACACCACGAUGAUAUGUUUCCACUUGUUACAUACUCAGUCGUAGUUAGAUGUAUGUAUGUGCUUUUAUGGAUAUAUAUAAAUAAUGAUUGAAGGACUUAGGAAGGUUCGUCCGCCCUAUUUCCUUUUCUUUGUUGAGAUGUGGUCUGGUGAGAUCGGAUGGUCGUCCGAAGGUCGUUUGGUUCAUUAGUUAUAUAUUAUGUAUACGAGUAUAGAUGUAUAGGUAUGCUCUAGUCAGUUCAGUCAUGAGUCUCUACCUCUAGUUCAACACUUACAUUAGAAACCCACUACCCACUAGAAACCCACUACCCACUGUUUGGAAGUCAUUACCCACUAUUUGGGAUGCAUCUUCGGGACACGGCCUUCUCCGUCGUCUAGUUGGUAACCAGAGUCUCCUGUAGGGAGAGCGGACAUUGUGUGUAUAGAUCUAUACGGGAUUGACACCCCCGCACCCUGACUGCUAGCUACAGUCCACGGCCUACCAAGCCAAGGGGUGACAAAUGUCAUAUUNCUGGUACUCUAGUGUCAGUUAGUAUGGUUACGAGUAUCCCAAGUUACCUUAUAAUUCAUGGCCUUAAGGUAACGGUAUUUCACCAGCAAUUUACAAUGUAUGCUGGUAACUCAUUCUCAGAGUCACACUGUUUUUGACCUUGCAAGUUGUAUCUUUCAUUUGAUACUGUCUGCGGUCUAUAUUCUUUGUUUUUGACCUUGCAAGUUGUAUCUUUCAUUUGAUACUGUAUGCGGUCUAUAUUCUCUGUUUUUGACCUUGCAAGAUGUGUCUUUCAAUUGAUACUAUCCGUGGUCUGUAUUCACUGUUUUAGACCUUACCAGCUGUACCUUUCAUUUGGUACCUUCUGGGGUCUGUGUCUCCUUUUGGUAGACUGAGCCAGGCGUGUCGUUCAUUCGAUACUCUCCUGGAGUCUAGGAUUCCUUUGCCUUAGUCAGCAGUCCUCACUGCUGAGGCAUAUGUUAUUUCCCUGAUUCUUCUUGCUUUCUUUAAAAAUCAAAUUCAGUAUUUUGAUAAUGAUAGCGAUUAAUGGAAAACUACUUUUACCACACUAACUCCGUCCAGUCUUGGUAGAAGACUGCUUUUAUUAAAGAAAAUAUAGGAUUUUCUGGAAAGAACUCUAAUACACUGUAAAUUCUUAAACUACUACAUUAUAAUGUUAUUUGAAUAAAAUGUCACUAAAUACUUAUGAACUCACCAACAUUUGUAAAAAUGCUGAUACUCGCUUUUCAAAUAACUUGUAUUCUCAGGUCAGCAUUAGACAGGUACAUCCCCGGAGCUGUUGAUGAAGAUAGCUUAGUACCAUGUUGUACUUAUUAUAUUUGCUUGUAUUACUCUUAUGUACUAUAAUGUGAACCAUGUAAAACUAUUACUAUUAAUGCAAUGUUUUGUUGUACUUUGAUUGCUAUAAUACAUGUAUUGUGAUACUUGACAUGACGUCAUCCACCCCAGAACGUUUCCGCCGUUCCGGUUUUGGGGUGUGACAAGUUGGGUGGGCCGCGGCUUCAGACGAAUCGGAAGGCAACACGCGUCGGAUCCGGGUAGAGCGGUUACUGUUCAUGCGAGGUGACGUAGCUUAGUGCUGACCAUGCGAAAAUUUCCGAUAUUAUCUACUUAUUUCUCGAUUUUUGAGCCAAAAUCUUCUAAAAUCCAUAACUUUCGAAUACUGGCUCCGUUUUUGACGUUCUUUAUAUGCACGCGUAGGUAAAAUUACGUUCUACAGACUUCGUCGGCUAAUUUUGACUUUAAUUUUUAUAUUAUUAUUUUUAACAGACAAGGACAGGUAAAUCCGUUAAAAAUUCAUAACUUCUUCAUUCGUCAUCCGUUUUCGUCAGACUUUUUACCGUUGUACUACUAUUGACGAGAUCUUCAAUUCUCGUUUAGGUUGUGUCGGCUAAAAAUCACUCGAUCUAAAAUUCGUGUUUUUAGCUGUCUACUGCUAAGCUGAAACUUGUAAAAAUGAUAACUUCGUCAUACGAAGUCAUAUUUUGGCGUUCUUUUUAUCGAACUUCUCAGUUUAACGAAUACUACGACUUUCAUUUAGAUCACUAAGGCUAAAUAGUAGUUUAUCAAAAACUCACUCUUUACGUCAUUCGGCAUCAUGCCGGUUUUGUCGCGAAUCUACGAUUGGUCAUAACUUCUUCGUUAUAACUCGGAUUUCGACGAGGUUUUCGCCUACAAGUUUCUAACGAGAUUAUUUACAAAUUUCAAUAAUAAAACUUUACUUAUUUAAAAUUUUAUAUUUUCCCUAAAUUUCACUAUUUUGCUUUUAAUUGGAAUCUCAUAAGAUUUCCAAUAUUUUCUAAGUGAUUCUAAACAUAGUUUUACUUGAUUUCUAGUAAAACUAUAUGUUAGAACUCAACACUCAAUUUCACAUAGUAUUUCACAAUUUUAUUCAUUACAAAACACGAUUUCAAAACAUAUAUGUUAUAGUUUUUAUCCUAUAGUGAUAUGUUAGAUCUGUAUCGUGGUAUAUAGGAUGUUGUUAUGUGAUAGUGACCUGUAGAUCUACCUGUUUGUUUGUUGACUGGUUAUAUGUUUAUCUGAUGCAUAUGUUGACAUAGUGUAGUUGGGUUGAAAUUGUACUGCUUUGUGCAGCAAGUCAACAAAUUCACGACAAUCGAAAAGGGAUGUUGUGGGUUAGGGGUAAUCUAACUGGGAGGUUGUGGACCAGUAUGUAGUAUGUAGGGCAGAUGGAAUUCGAACCGGAAGGUUGUGGGCUAGGGAUGAUCCAACCAGGAGGUUGUGGACCCAAUAUGUAGUAUGUAGGGCAAUCCAACCAAAAGAUUUUGGGCCAUGGGUAAUCCAAUCGGUAGGUUGUGUGCCUAGUAUGUAGUAUGUAUGAGAAUCCACCAGGAGGUUGUGGGCCAGGGAAUUCCAAUUGCAAGGUUGUAGACCAUGGGUAAUCCAAAGGGGAUGUUGUAGACUCGAGGGUAUUCUAGUCUGAUGAGUGACUGGACCCAACAUAAAUGAUUGUAUAUGCUAUAUGUUUAUGUUAUGGUGCUUUGGAGUAACUCACUAAGCUUCAUGCUUACGGUAUAAAUUUUAUGUUUCAGGUAAUUUAGAUGCCCAUGGAAAGCACAGGCAUGAUCGUACACAUCCUUAGAAGAUAUAUAUUUUUGGAGAUUUAUGAUGAUAAUAAAUUGGGACACUCUAAUAUAUGAUUUCUAUUUUGAGAGCAAUGUUUUGUAAAUGAUUGGCUUGAUUUGGGUUUUGUCAGAAAACAAUGAUUUCUCUUCAUUUAAAAAUGAAAAUUUUUACCUUCAUUUUUGGGACGUUACAUUAUUGCUAGAUGUCAUAGAUAAUAAUAACUUAUAGUAUUAUAGGUUAAUACUUGUUAGAUGUGUUACCCGUCAGUUGAAUCGUCAGUAGGAUCACCUAGAUAGUUAUCAAUCUUCUAAAUAACUAUCCAGGUGAGUUAUCUCACUAUACUAUGUAUUACAAUACAUGUNUUAGUAGGGUAGAGCCGAAGUAUAGUCUUUAUGUGCUUACUUUUAUUGUACUAGAGUUAUUCAUUAUGGUUAAGUUACUGGUUAACAGUGGAACGAGGACAUGUACAUGUACGGAGCCUAUAGACUCGUGUUGCCGACGAAAUGGCAGGUUGGCCUUAAGUCUAGAUACAUAUAUUAUUUUUGGAUCUUCGAAAGGUCCUGAGCCAUUUUUAUAUGCAUGUAUAUGUAUUGCGAUAUAUGGUAUUUUUGGGGAACUAACUAAGCUCCGUGCUUAACCAAUUGAUAACAAAUGAUUUUAGGUAGAUCACGAAAAGGGCAAGAUUUGACUGUACACGUGCAUUGGCAUCAUGUUUUCUAUAUAAUUUAAAUAUACUCUGAUUUGAAUGAGAUGUUGUUAAAUGAUAAAAAAAUGUUGUGGGAAUCAAGAUGCUACGAAAUCCCUAAUAUGUAAGGAUCUCAUUCUAGAAUAGUCUUAACCCUAGUAUAAAAGUUACACAAGAUUUGCAUGUAAAAGUAUGUCACUUUGUGCAUUCUCUCUUUGUGAGAUUUCUUAAUCAAAAUUGUUUUUUGAGUAUUAAUUGUUCUUAGUUGUUUAUUGGUUUAUAUAUCUUGUUAUUAAGGCCCUUCAUCUACCUGUGAAUCUUGUCACAAUACAUGUUGUUUAGAUGUAUUUAUUUUUACAAUGUUUUCACACAAACACAUACUUGAAGUGUUUAUUAAUAAACAUUUAUCUCAAAUAGUUAUUUGAAGCAUAUAAUAAUGAAAUUUUAUCUGCAAUUGCAAAUUAAUAUUAAGUAAGCAUUAUUGCAUGGAAGUUGAGGAUGUAGUGUAGAAAAUUCUGAAUUUCCAUGAGAUGCUAUUAUAUGUUAUUUAUGAGGAAACAAACUCAUGACACCCAUGUGAUGCAAUCCUCUGUUUUGAAUUGAGAAAUUGUAAUCUCUUUCAAUGAUUUUAACUGUGUACUUAACUUGCAUUUGAAAUUAACUUUAUUCCUUUAUGUAAUAGUUACUAUAUAAACAUGAUCAUUUGCUUUAUAUCAACUCAUACUUUGUGUCGUACAUAAUGUCUACCUUCUACUCAAAACAAGAAAUUAUGUUAUUCAUACAUAAUAUAUCAUAUACGAUAUGGUACAAAGAAAGAGUACAAUAACAUCCUUAGAAGAUAUCAUAAAAGUUACUGAGGAGUAGAUGCAUAUUUAGGGGAAACUUUUCUCAUAUCAUGCCGCUUCAAACAUGUGAGAUCCCUAAUUUUCAGAACCAAAAAAAAAUUAUUUAUGCUUUCAAAAAUCAUAUUUUAUUUAUUUACGGAAUAUCACAUUAUAUUACAACAUUUUGAGUACAAAUGAAUGUCUCAACAUAAUAAAACUUCAAGGAUGUCACAAUCGAUACACAACAUAUGAUGCAUAUAAAAUGAGUGGGUCAUGUUGGGAAACCUAGUAAGAUACAUAAGGUUUUCAAUCCCAUAAUGUUUUAACAAUAACUAUUCAUAUAUCAGAUACCUACAAAACCAAAUGUUGUUAUCACUACAGAUAUAUCAUAUCUAUAAGACAAUCUACCUCAUACUAUUGAUCCUCAAAUAUUGAUCCUAUACAAUGACCUUAUGAGAUUUGUACAUAAGGAUCACUAUGAACAACAAUUUGACUAUGUUGCUUCAGGGAUUCAUUAGGAGAAAAUGAGGAUCAAUAAAUAUAUAAAAUGAAAGGAAUGGAAUACUCGAAUUAAAAUAUAAUCCCAAUCACUAGAUUAGUAUAAAGGAAUGGAGUACCUGAAUAAACAUAUAGCCUUUUUCCAUGGAUUAGUAUAAUUCAUUAACACCAUAAGACAAUUAAGUCAGGGGUGGUCAUCUAUACUCUACUAGAUGACUUUGACAUGCCUAGAAGUGGUCUGGCCCCUAGGUAUUUAUGAACAGAGUUAUACCCUCAUACACACCGACAGUCGAAAAGAAAAGCAGGGGGAAUACUAAGAUAGUAAUUCGGUAUGCUCCCAUACCCUGACACAUGAUAUUGUCAAAAAAGGACUUCGUAUGAAAUAGUACUUCUAACACAUAAUAGUACCCCAUCACAUGUACUACCUGAGAAAAAAAUUCCUACUCUCCGUUUCGAGCUCACAUACACCCCAAUAUAAAAACUACCCAAUGUCAAAUUUUAAUUAAAGUAAACAUCCCUUUUAAGUCUUAGGCUGUAACUAAACAAGAUUUAAUACCCAUAAUCAUCCUAAAUAUCCUUCCUAUGUAAUAUCUUUACAAUACAGGGUAAGUCUAAAUCUCUUCAGCCUAACUCAAACUAAGAACCCUUUAUAAGUCUCAUCUCAUCACUAGGCAAGACUACAACCGCUUAAUAUCAACUCCUAAUACCAACUCCAUUUAGGCAACAUUAUCAUAAUCUAGUGUAUACAUUUAACAUAGAGUAUCAGGUAUAAAUAUGUAUUUACUUUCUUAAAGAUAAUAGUUCUAUUAUUAUUAUUAUUAUUAUUAUUAUUAUUAUUAUUAUUAUUAUUAUUAUUAUGCAAUAAUAUUAUAUAUACAUCUUAAAACCUAUAGAACCAUAUCUGGUUCGCAUAAAGUAUAUUAUCAAUAUACAUUUAUAAGCAUAUAAUUCAUAUAUAAACUUUCAACAUAUAUUUAAUACUUUUAAUAAUACUUGUAUUAAAAUCAUGUUCAUGAAAGUAACUAUGCACUCACAUAACUGAGGUGGUAGCUCUUUGGGAAACUGUAGCUUCUCGGCUAACACUUCAGUUAAUCCCUUUUGAAAUCAUGUUCAUGAAAGUAACUAUCCACAUCUCCUUUCUGGGUGUCGAAUCUGACAGUGCCACGUAUCAAAAUUUCGAUAGGCUACGUGUCGGUACUAUAUGGUGUUGCGUCACCAUGUCGGUUGAAGAGUUCGAUCGCUGCCUUUCCACAUGGCGUGUUAUUGGGCCACCAUGUCAUCGCGCACAUGUAUUUUCUGAAAUCUUUAAACGGCCAUAUCUUUCGCAUAUCAACUCUAUUUUCUACGUUCUUUAUAUCUUCAGAAUCCUUUCAAUGAGCACUACAACUUUCUUUUAAGUCUCAACAACUAAUUUUCACCCUAUUUUAAAUUCAUAUUUUUAUUGAUAUUAUACCAUUAAAGUCUAUGCGAAAAUCGUUAUUCCUUCAUACAAACUCCGUUCUCAACUGUCUCUAUAUGGACAUAAUCGUAUUUAUGAGAUCUUCAACCCUCAUUAACAUUGUUUUGGCUAACAAUCAAGCGAUCUAAAUUAUAUUUUUAAAUUCAUAUUUUAAAUUGUUUUAAAUUCAUAUUUUACAAUCUUUUAAAUUCAUAUUUUUAUUGAUAUUAUACCAUUAAAGUCUGUGCGAAAAUCGUUAUUCCUUCAUACAAACUCCGUUCUCGACUGUCUCUAAACGGACAUAAUCGCAUUUAUUAGAUCUUCAACCCUCAUUUACAUUGUUUUGGCUAACAAUCAAACGAUCUAAAUUUCGGUUUUUGUGUUGCCUACUAUUGUGUUAGAACUUCAAAAAAUCAUAACGUCCUCAUACGAAGUCAUAUUUUGACGUUCUUUAUAUGGCACUUUUGCUUUUACAAUUACUACGACUUUGAUUUAGAUUACUUAGGCUAAUAAGCAACAUAUAUCUACUUUAUAUUUUACAACACAUGUUGUCGUAUAAGGAUGAACAUGAAACUCUGAAAGAUCAUAACUUCUUUAUAUGAAUUCAGAUUUGAGCUUUCUUUAUACUCACAGAAUCCUCAUCACUUCUACUACAACUUCCAUUAAGAUUAUAUAUCCUAAAUAAGUUUUUAUCAAAAACGUUGUUUUUAUCUCUAAGUCAUAAAAGGUAUAUAUAGUCUGUAACAUCUAAGACUAACAAUUAUUCUCUUAUAAGGUUGAGCAUGAAACUUUGAAAGAUCAUAACUUGUCAUAUGAAUUCAUAUUUGAGCAUUCUUUAUACUUCGCGGAAUCCUCAUCACUUCUAUUACAACUUUCAUCAAGAUUAAUUAUCCUAAAUAAUAAUUUAUUAAAAAUGUUAUUUUUAUCUCUUAGUGAUAAAAGGUCUAUAUAGUUUGUAACACGCAAGACUAACAAUUAUCCUCUUAAGAGAUUUUAAUUAUUUAAUAAAAUGAAUAAAUAUGACUAAAACAUCUAGCCCUAACUUACAAGCAUUACAAAACAUGUACGUGGCAGAAGUCUUAGUGAUGUGAAAUUAACAGUCUAUUACAAUAAACUUAAUACAAACAAACCAAACUGAAACUAUCAAUCACUAGACAGUUACCUAAUUAUGAAUAAUAUAGUUAGGGUAAGUAAGGCUGUCAAACUCAAGGAGACUAUAUGUGUAUUGAUAAAUAUGAUCUAAACUAAUUAAAUUAAAUAGGGAAUUUGAUAAGUGAUUAAACUCAACUAAAAUCUUAAUACUUUAAACUAUUUAUUCAAAGAAGUAAUAACAAGUUCAAACAAAUAAUAAUAAUAAAUACUUUUUCUUAGAUUUUGAUUCACAAAAUGAUUAUGACUGAUUCAUACAAAGUGCAAUGGAAUUAGCAAAUAUGUACUGAUUCAUAAAUUAAUUAAUUCAAACUUAAUAUCCUUAAUCAUACGUUUCUAAGUUAUCUAGCACUAGUGAUAGAUUUCCUAGAUCCAUUAUGUUAAUUCGUACUACAAAAGACUUAAUAAGUAUGAUUAAUCCCAAGUAUAUUGGUAACUUCUCAAAUUAUCUAAAUUAAUAGUACAAUCACGAACAUUAAAUCAAUACUUUUAUGUCUAACUUGGCUUCAUACUCUGCAGUCAUCACUACACACCUUAAUUGUGGAGUUUAGGGUUGUAAAUUGCCAGCCACAAUAUGACACAAGACACAUAAUCUGAACCUAAUAUGCACUCAGUUACAUAGACAUAAAACUACCAAUAUUAAUGUGCAUGGAUCAUUAGUUAAGAAUUCAUAAUAAAGUGAAUAACUACUAAUAUUCCUUUCAAAUGAAUCAAUUCAAAAUAAAAUUAGAUCAUCUACAUCUAAACAAAAUUGGAACUUAGCCCAUAAACUAAUUAAGAAAACAAAGAAAACCAAAGAAAUUUAAUAUACAAUAAGCCCAAACUACUUGAGAACCACUUUAUUAUAUUUCUUCAGCCUUCUUACGUAGGUUCUAGUUUUCUAAUAUCAUCAAGAUAUGAUAUGAUCCUUUUCUCCUUUUAGAUGAACUAAAGGGUCUAUUUAUAGCCUUUUUAUGAACAACAGUAAUCACAAUGCAAUAUCAUAAACUUGGUAAUUAUCUUUAAAAUCUUCAAAAUCAUCAUAAUAUUCUUCAUGCAAAUUUCAAUAUGUCUUCCUUGGUCACUAAGCCACGAAAUUAUGCUUGAUGUUUUCUCUUUUCAGUUUCUAUUUCAUCAACUUGUCAUUUUCUGCUGCCAAACAUAAAUAUGUAGCAAUUAAGCAUCUUAUGUCCUAUUUUAAUUCAAAAAAAUACCAUAAAAAGUAUAUUAAAUGUCCCUAAAAUGUGUAUAAUUUAUGACGCAUCAAAACACCCCACACUUGAUGUUUGCUUGUCCUUAAGCAAACAUACAAUCAUUCAGAUUAAAUUAUAUGCUUUACUUAAUUACUCUUUACUAACAUUGCAUAAUAUAACCCUAUUCCCAAUCCACCAAUUAUAUCUAGCCUCAAUGUGUAUAUUUCUGUCUAAAUCCUAAUAACUUUCCCCAAAUUUAAUACUCAUAGACAGUGCAAGAAAGUGAUUAAGCCAUCUGAUGUGAAGCUCAUCCGAGCUUUUGGUAUGAUCUAGCAAGUCUGUUAUAUGAUGAAGUGAUGCUAUCCGAAGAAGUUGUUAUCCAAGCAUGUCUAUCAUCCAAGAGUGAACUUAUUUUUUUCUUUAGCAUGUUGUAGAUUAUGGAUUAAGAUCAUCAGGGAUCUUUUUUCUGUUGUACUAUCCUAUUGAUGAACGUUUUGAUACUUCAUCCUUUGUUCCAUUAGAUCUUAACAUGUACGUUAUUUUCUUAUAAAUAGCCCAGUCAACUUCAUUGUAAGAUGCACCUAAACGAACAUUGAAUAUAAUCAAUUAGAUUUCUCCUCAAACAUUCUUCUUCUUCCUUGUUUAUUACUUGAAGUUAUUUACUCUUUGUGUUUACUUAGUGCAUUUAAUACAAGUUAAUAUUCAAGUCUUUGACUAGAUUAUUUCAUAUUUACACUAGAACUUACCUAAUUAGGCUUAUUGUUAUUCACAACUGAUAUCAGAUCCUAUGUGGAUACCCUUUGAAUCCAUUUGACCAGAUUAUCAUUGCACAAGAACAUCUUGGUGUUCACUUUUAUUUCUAAGUCUACCUGAUAAAAGUUUUUUAUAUAUACCUCUAUCAUACAUAAAUUUUAAAACAUAACAAUGGCUAAUCCUUUGUACUCAAUGCACAUAUGCAAUAAUGUAGGUUUCCAUACACAAAUCCCAUUACUAGUGGUUGAGGAAUAUGAUCAUUGGAAGAUAAGAAUGGAACAUUUUUUAAUUUCAAAAGAAAAAGGAAAAUAAAUCUAGAGAUCUAUAAUAAAAGGUCCUCAUGUUCCACUUCGAACAGUGAUAACAUAUGUAGCUGCUCAAUUUCUUGGUUAAGAAUAAUUCAUCAAUGCUCUACUUAUAGGUCUUGAUAUUGAGAAGAUGCAUUCAGACGAUCUUUCAUUCUCAAUGAUGAUUUUUUAAAUCCCUCCUCUUUUGUUCGAGCAUAUCAAGCUAUGAAAAAGUGCCAAUGAAAUAUGGGGUAGUAACUAUUAGGAAAUUUUAGCAAAGGUGUUUAGAGUUUUUUGAUCUAAAUUGAAACAAUUACUACUAUGUUUACUUAAANNNNNNNNNNNNNNNNNNNNNNNNAUGAAAAUUGAUAGUAUAUAAUUUGUAGAUAUCAUCUCAUUAGUAUACCAGGUCCUUAUAGUUGGAUUACACUCUAUCGUACUUUAUUGUUUGUUUAUUUAUGGCAUAUCCAGAUUAGGCAUAGUCAGAUGUAUUGUGUACUUUAUUGUUUACUUUUGUAUUAUCUUAGACCCAUGCUUCAAAGAUUUGACAAGACUUGUCCUAUUGGUUGCCUAUUAAAAACACCAUGUAACGUAUUGUUAAGACACCCCAUCUUUUUCAUUAAUAUUUAAUAUAUCUUGUUCUCCAUCAACAUGCUUUUAAUGUUCCACUCUUAGCUAUGUUUACUUAGACGUUAUUUACUUAUUCCACAUUUCAUUUUUCAUGAUUGGUGUACCUUAAACUGAUCCUAACAUUAGCAACAACUGAGAGUAUUGCUAUCCUCUAUUUUCAAAUUACAUUAAUUAUGUCCGAUCUGUUUUGCACCUUUUUCAUACAUUCAUGAUCCAUCUGCUAAACAUAAUGAAUUUCUCUCUCAAGUUUAGUUCUGUUACAGAGGGUUGAAGUUUCCAUAGAUAGAUAUGUUAUUGUUAACUGGAUUUUUGGAAGUCUAAUAUUAGGGGUAAGUAAUAUUGUAUGUUGAUCGUAGUUUUAUAUAAGAAACAUACAUGGUUUCCAGAGUCUUUAGGUCUUGAUGAGACAUUCUGGUGUCUACACACUUUGAGAGUGUAAACACAAUGAUUCAAUGUAAUUAUUGGAAACAUAAACUAUUAUUUAUGUGAAGCGUUUACUUUAUUUGUGACCUUUGGGUUAGAAUACCAUCUUGAUCUCUCUUUUGCGUCCUCUCUCUCUCUCUCUCUCACUCUCUCUCUCUCUCUCUCUUUAUGUGUAUGUGUGUGUGGUGGGGGGAGGGGGGUCUUGUCGUUCCUUUUUCAACAUGUCAACUAACGCAAUUUCUGAGAAAUACUACAAACACUACAUGGCUUUUAUGUUUUUUCGAAAUCCUGUAAUGAGAAACUGAUGCACCUAACACGUUGAUGAUGGAUAUCAAAGUUUUUAUUUCAAUCAAGCCAAUAAAGGAAGAGGGAACAACUUGAGCCAAUUAAAGAUAAAACACGUUAUGAGGUCAUGAGAAUGGCAAUAACAUUCUAUUUUGAACAAAACUAUACAGACAAUGUUUUUAUUGGGUGUCUAGAAAAGGUUUUAGGAUAUUUUGAAGAAAAAAGAAACAUCUCAAUGUUUUUGUUUUUCUCUAAGAUAAUCUAAUACUUUAAUAUGUACUAGUUGUGAAAUUCAUGUAUUACACGAGUUAAUUUAAAAAAUAAAUACAUAAAGAGGUCAAAAUAUUUGAAAACUUUGAAUUUAUAAGAAAAUAAGAAAAUUAAUGAAUUAUUAUAAAUGAAAUGUUUUUUAUCUUUCAAAUUUAAACAAAUAAUUUAAAUAAAUAAUCAAAAUAAACUAAUGAGCUUUAAUUUGAAAAUUUUGCAAUUAUUGUAUUAAAAUAUUAUGUGGAUUUUUGGAAGUCUAAUAUUAGGGGUAAGUAAUAUUGUAUGUUGAUCGUAGUUUUAUAUAAGAAACAUACAUGGUUUCCAGAGUCUUUAGGUCUUGAUGAGACAUUCUGGUGUCUACACACUUUGAGAGUGUAAACACAAUGAUUCAAUGUAAUUAUUGGAAACAUAAACUAUUAUUUAUGUGAAGCGUUUACUUUAUUUGUGACCUUUGGGUUAGAAUACCAUCUUGAUCUCUCUUUUGUGUCCUCUCUCUCUCUCUCUCUCUCACUCUCUCUCUCUCUCUCUUUAUGUGUAUGUGUGUGUGGUGGGGGGAGGGGGGUCUUGUCGUUCCUUUUUCAACAUGUCAACUAACGCAAUUUCUGAGAAAUACUACAAACACUACAUGGCUUUUAUGUUUUUUCGAAAUCCUGUAAUGAGAAACUGAUGCACCUAACACGUUGAUGAUGGAUAUCAAAGUUUUUAUUUCAAUCAAGCCAAUAAAGGAAGAGGGAACAACUUGAGCCAAUUAAAGAUAAAACACGUUAUGAGGUCAUGAGAAUGGCAAUAACAUUCUAUUUUGAACAAAACUAUACAGACAAUGUUUUUAUUGGGUGUCUAGAAAAGGUUUUAGGAUAUUUUGAAGAAAAAAGAAACAUCUCAAUGUUUUUGUUUUUCUCUAAGAUAAUCUAAUACUUUAAUAUGUACUAGUUGUGAAAUUCAUGUAUUACACGAGUUAAUUUAAAAAAUAAAUACAUAAAGAGGUCAAAAUAUUUGAAAACUUUGAAUUUAUAAGAAAAUAAGAAAAUUAAUGAAUUAUUAUAAAUGAAAUGUUUUUUAUCUUUCAAAUUUAAACAAAUAAUUUAAAUAAAUAAUCAAAAUAAACUAAUGAGCUUUAAUUUGAAAAUUUUGCAAUUAUUGUAUUAAAAUAUUAUGUGGAUUUUUGGAAGUCUAAUAUNAAAUGACAUGUGAAAAAAAAAAUUAAUUCAAAAUAACCACAAAAUUAGAUUCGCCAAACUGAAUGAAAGUGUAUCAUGUUGCAAAAAACCUUUAUUUAUUAGAGUAGAGAAGAGAUUUAUGUAAUAUUACUAAACCGGUGUUCGAAGAAGAAAAGAAACAUCCAUGCUUUUUUUUUAAAUAAUCUAAUAUUUUAAUAUAUAUUUAUGUUUUUUAUUUAAAUAUAAAUAAAUAAAAUAUUUUGUUUAUUUAGUUGGUUAGUAAAUUGGUUUCAAGAUCAAUAUAGGCCCAUCACUUAAUCUAAUAAUAUACGUGAUCAUAUAGGUGUAUAACUUCAUCAAUAAUUAUAAAUAUAGAUAUAUAAAAAAUUAUUAUACCAAUAUCAUCUUUGGUUGGUACAUGUGCACACGAUUCAUUUACUUCUAAAAGCGAGUGAAUGUUUUGGCAAUGACAUUAAUAGGCAUAAAAAGCUGUUUUUUAAAGAAAGUAUGAAUAAUGUCCACUUUCUACCGAUUAAAUACUAGGAAGACACACAAACAUUCAUCAAGAUACCUAUACCAGUACUAGUACUAGUAAUUUCAAACUAGUAAACAUUAUGAUGCAGUUAAUACUGUUAUACACGUGUACAUCAUAAAUUAAAAUAUGUACAUAGUUCCGGGAUUGAAAACUUUGGAUCUAGAAUACAUACAAACCUCUAGUAGCUUUCCGGUUAAUCGAUACUUGUCGACUAAAGAGAGAAUGAUAAAACAAAACACUAGUCAACAUACAAAUAACUCCAAUCUUUUACUUUAAAAGUUGGUGUUAAUAAGAUAAGGUAAUUUCCUAAUUCCAAAUUACAUACAUAUUGCUGAUCAUCUCUAUAUAGUGAUUGUACGAUAUGGAGCUACCAUGAGAUUUGCAGCAAGUUUCCUCUCCUUGGUGGCUGGAUCUUGUAACAUCAACACUUUGUCUUUCUCUCUAACCCCAACCAUAUGUAGAUAUUCCCCAUCCUCUCUCUCUUUCCCUUUGAACAAUAGUCUUUGCUCUUUUGGCUCCAAACUAGUCACCAUUGAUAAUAUCAUCUUCAAUUCUCCUAUAGAAAAGGAAAAACAUUUAGAGGUCAUGACAACGACAGUUAUUUCAAAAACGACAUACAAAAAUUGUAUCAACGAACCGAUCAUAUGUCGGAAAAAUUAAAUUUGUUAGUGGUUAUAGACAACUUACCAAAAGUUGAAGUGGAUUGGAUGGAUAUAUCAUACCACUGCGAACCAGUUGCAACUCUAACUACCAUAAUCUCUUCUUCGAUGCUUUCCUCUCUAACCUCUCUCUUCUGAACAAGCAUCCCACCUGGUCGUACUUCCCAUUUGACUUCUAUGCCAUUUGUUGUGCCACAACUUUGGAGGCUAACCCUACUAUUGUUACUAUCAUUGUCAUCGUUGGUCUUAAGACAACGUAAUUUGGAAAAGCCCCUAGACAACUUUAUUGACCUAAACUUCAUCAUUAUCAUCUCUUGGUUUGGUGAUGUCUUUCUUUUUGUAUAUGUUUGUGAAAGUGAAAGGUGUGGAGUUGGUAGUUAUAUACAAGUGGUGAAGUUGGAAGUAAUAAGGACAAAAUUGGGUACCUAACAAAAAAUAAAAUAUUCAAGGGGUACAGUUGUCAUUUCCUUUUAUAAGGUUUAUUUGAUAUGGUUCAAGCACAUGGGGCGGGCUUGGAGGAUUGCUUAAUUGGCGGGACCGAACAUUUUAAUUGUAUAUAAAUGUGAUAUUAUUAGGUAUAUUUUUCUAUAUUUCUAAUUUGGAAUACACGUAAAAGUAAUAAUAUUUUUUUUGAUUAUUUUUUAUAAAAUUCUAACAUAAAAAUCAAAUAAAUAUAAAAUGGGAGAAUUUCAUAUAUGUCUUUCUUAAACAUCAAAAUAUAAUAUUUACCCAACUUAAUUUCUAAAUAUCAUAUUUAUCCUUCAUAAAAUUUCUAAAUAUCAUAUUUAUCCUUCGUAAAAUUUUAAAAUGUCAUAUAUUUCUUUUUUAAACAUCAAAAUAUCAUAUAUGUCCUUUUUAAAUAUCAAACUAUUGUAUAUGUACUUUCUAAAUAUCAAAAUAUCAAUGAUAAUAUGUAAAAUAUCCUCCAUCAACAUGAUAAUAAUCAACGACAACAAAAACUAAACAAUCAAAAUAUACAUUUCAUAGGGAUGGUUGAAGAUGAAUCUUUUUGUUUGUCUAGAGGACGACAUUCUAACAAUUUAGAAAUUUAUAUUUCAUUAUCUUAGACGUAAUGAUAAUAUGGUUAAAAUUUUUUAUUUAUUAUAAUAAUUCUAAGGUCAAAAAAAUGAUUAUAAAAUAUUAAAAACUUUAUAAAAAAGGAUUUUGGCAAAUAUGAUAUUUUGAAAGUUUAUGAAGGGUAAAUAUGAUAUUGAAAAAUUAAGCUGGGCAAAUAUGUUAUUUUAAAGUUUAAUAGGGGCAGAUAUGAAAUUCUCCCUUAUAAAAAUAUCAUUUUUUUUAAUGGAAACAAAUAAAUAUAUUAAGAAAAAACUAGCAAGAUCCUAGGAGUACAGAUCAUUAAGACUGAGUAGGAUUUUGAAGCCACAAACUUCAAUUAAUCCUAGCCUUAGAGUUAUGAGACGAGAACCAACGAAAUGAAAUAUCAACAAUGCAAUCAAAAAUCCUAUAUUUUCUAGGCUUAUUACUACUAAACAAAAUACCAUUACGGAACGUCUAAAGCACCCAAUUGACCACAGAAAAUACCAAGUCAAUAAUCACCCGUUGUUGUCUAACAUUAGGCCUCGCAUCAAUCCGGUCCAUCAUGUCUCUCAUAGUAAGAAAAACAAGGAUAUCCAAAUCAAGCCAACGACUAACUCGCCUCCAAAUCUUAGUUGCAAUUGUGCACUGGAUAAACAAGUGCAACACAUCUUCAGUAGCUUCGUUACACAAUGGACACAAAACCGAGUUAAGAUCCACCCCUCUCUCCACCAACUUCGACCUAAUAGGGAGCCUAUCCAUCAAUAAACGCCAAAUAAAAACAUUUAUUUUAAUAGGAACCGAGCAAUUCCAUCGAGUGGGCAAGGAACCCGACGGAAGUCUCGAAUUCAUCGAUCCAAUUCCUAGUCGAUUUAACCGAAAAGCACCCCGAAUUAUCAAAAUUCCAAACCCACUUGUCUGACUCCGUGCCAAGUUGAAAGUCAUCCAACAAAGACAUCAAACUUGCAAGCUACACGUGUUCAACCCCUCCUCUAAUAUCAUGACACCAAGCAAAAACCCAACCCGUCAGCGACCAAUAGUCUCUAACUAAAGAAUUUUGAUUAAAAGCUAGUGCAAACAAUCUUCCGAAUUGCACCAUAAUAGGAACAACUACAAAAUAAUUUCCAUUCGUACAUUUUAUAUACACAAUUAUGUAAAAUUUUAAAUCCAUAGUUGUAACAUAAAAAAGUAAAAUUGGCAUAUUAUAAUACAUAGAUACAUUAUGUAAAUUUUUGACAUCUAACUAUUUUAUAUGUUUAAAAUCAAGAACAUAUAUCAUUUUACUAUGGAAUGGUAAACUGGUCAAAUAUAUUUAUUUAAGAUAAACAUAUAUCAUACUACAUAAUAUGUUAUCGAUCAUUUCAUGGUUUCACUGCCAACGUGACUUCAAUGUGACAUCCAUGUCACCAUUAAUAUGUAUUUAAAAUUUCUUAUAGUUUUCUUUAAAUUAAACAAAAUAAAAACUGGAUGAAUAAGUUCAUCUUUGAAGAUAAUGUUCGAAACAAGAUUAUUUGUUAGACUUAUUCAUCCUCGAAAUUUAGAUCGAAAUCAAGUAUAACAAAUGAGAUGUACUUGUUCAAUAUUGAUGUUACUAGAUCGACAAAGAGAUAUAUUUUAUUUGGAUUGAGAUUUCAAAUUUAAAUUUGAUCGCCUAGGUUUUAUGGUUUACAAGUAUUUGUUUCAUACAAGAUUAAAUCAUAUAUGAUAGAUUCAAGUCUUUUAUGUUUAAGGAUUUCAAAUUUUCAAACGAAGCAAUUACAAAAGGGUUUUAGGGUUGAAAGUGAAACACAUAAUAUAAACAUAAUAUAAAGACAAAGAGUGGAAAAUAGAGAUAAGAAAUUCCCAUGGUUGAAAGAUGAACGAGGGUUUCGCCUUAGGGUUUAUAUUCAGAAGAUUAUUAUUAUGUUAUGGUUUACAAGUGUUGUUUUAGGGAAAAUGAAUUAUCAGGGUAAUUACAUUUUCGUUUUGUUUACCUUUAUGCAAUUUUUUUACACAUUUCAUUUAACUUGUUAAAUGUGUGUGUGUGUGUGUGUGUGUAUAUAUAUAUAUAUAUAUAUANNNNNNNNNNNNNNNNNNNNNNNNNNNNNNNNNNNNNNNNNNNNNNNUUGUCACAUGUGUACAAAAAAAUGAAGUUACCUUUCUUUGGAACCGGCCAAUAAAUUAUAUUAAAAAACAGGAGAAAAACAACACCACUAGAAAGUCGCUAGAUGGAAAGCAUGAUACAAAGUUUAACAAAAAGGAAAGAAAUAAAAGAUAGAUUACACAUUAAGAAAGGGGCAUUGAGACCGGUCUGCUCAUAAUAAAUCCCCCUUGUUACUACUUUUUUUAACCCACAAGAAGGUCACUGAUUUGAUGAUAUCAGUAACUUUGGUAGGUGGUAUUCGGUUGCUAUUAAAUAUUUGAUCGUUCCUUGCUUUCUAAAUUCUUCAAAGUGUAUCGUAAUAUAUUAUGAUAAAUAACUUCUUCCUCUUUGGACAUGUGCGCCAUCUAGCAGCAUAGUCCAAAACAGUAAGAACUAUCUGGCAGCAUGGAUGUUUUGCUUCCAAGGGAGUGGGUAAUUGUAAUGUUUAUGCUAGUUCUAAUUCUAUUUCAGGUACACAAGGAAUGCAAGGCUCCUCGUUUUUUCAUCAACUGAGCCUCCUUGGCGCUCCACCAACGACCCUCAGACCGUCUGCCUUGUGACAGCCUGCUGUUGUCAGUCCCGAAGGAGGCUAGGGUUUACUCCCAAAGGGUUCUUUUAUGUGAUGUAUGCUUAGAAAUGACCUACGACAUGGAACAAUGCCUUUAAAUAUGGUAAAAGCCCUAAUUUUAUGGGCUUGGGUUGCAUAGUGUGACAACCCGAAAUUUCCAUUGUACGAACAUCAUCCAUUCAAUAGAAACUAGUUCAGCUUCAGUGAACUUCAAGCUUUUCCGAACAAGUUUGUGUACAUUAGGGUUCAUGUUUUAGAUGAUAUCAGGAGAGUGGAUACUCCUGGUUUUGUGAAACUUGGGCAUUUCAAGUUUCAUACUGUUACAGUCCAACGUCAGGAAUAAAAAUAUUUUCUGUCAAAAUAAUCCAGGACUAUAAAUAGUUUUCUGAAUUAAAUUAAUUCAUUAUUCACAAUUCCAAAUAGAGAAAAGCCAUAUUCUCUCUGACGGAUCUUCGGGUUUUCAUCCCAGAUUGUGAGUCUACUUUUCUAUAUGUGUUUCAAUACUUGUUUAAUGCUUAUUAACAACAAUAACAUGUUUAGAUUACAAGAUCCGGGAGUUUACCGCCCAAGAUCGUUCUUGGGGAGUAAACUCCAAAAUGGAACAUUAUGGCUUCCUAGUCCCGAUUCCUUGUUAGACAACUUGUUUAGGAGUUAGGAUAUGAUCUUUAUAGGCCAAAAAGCAUCCAAGAAACACAAGUUCUAGGAUUUUACGGCCAAGGAACUCCCUUGGGCCGUAAACCCCUUUUCAAGGGCUUAAAGUGCCCCAAAUCUUCCCCUAAUGCUUAAGGACCUUUACCCUAAAUUGCUUGUGCUUAUUUUAGGCAUCAAAAGACAUCAAAAUCAUAAGUUUCUAGGAGUUUACGGCCAAGGAACUCCCUUGGGCCGUAAACCCCUUUUUGUGGGACAAAAAUCAUUCCAAGCAACCCUUAAGCCUUUAGACAAUUUACCUUGCACCUUUGGGACUAGAAUGGAGAGUAGAACACAUAGAAAUCACUCCUUGAAAGGAGUUUACGGCCAAGGAACAUGACUUGGGCCGUAAACUCCAAGUGAAGGCACCAAAGUGUGCCUCUUGUCCCCAUUAGCCUUAGAUAAAUUCAUGGAUGCCAUUCUUGAUGUUUAAGUGCCUCAAAUCAAUUAAAUUCCUAGAGUUUACGGCCGUAAACUCUAAGGUGAAGGACCUUAGGCCGUAAACUCCCAUAUGGAGUGUUCUAAAGCCUUAAACUACUUCAUGUGUUAUUCCAAUAAAGCUAGGAGUGUUCUAGGGUCAAGAUAACACCACAAAACACCCAAAAACACCAUUUGAGGAGUUCACGGCCAUAAACCUAUGAGUUUACGGCCGUAAACUCCAAGGUGUGGGGUUUGUUGGAUGGUGAACUCCUAUACAAGGCCCUUUGAUGUUUCAAACCCUUUUGCCUUGUCCCGUAGCAACUUAGAUGCAACCAUUUGGACCUUAAACACUCAUAAAAGUGUUUAAAUGUUUUCUAAGUGUCUUAACUUAUUUAUUUAAGUUAUUAUUUGUCUAAUUAGUUAUAUAUAUGCUUAUUAUAUGAUAACUAGGCUCGUGCGUGUAAACCAGUCUCCGUUUGUCACCUAGCACGGUAGCCGACACUGCAAUUCAAACGACUCACCACAAGUGAGUUCAUACCCCUUGAAUCAACCUUUGAAAUGAUUUUAAGUGUUUUAAAUACUUUAUGGGGGGGAAAACAAGUCAAAUACUUAUAAGUUAUUGCUUCAAUCACAUGUGAUUGUGUUUAAUCACAUGUGAUUAAUAACUAGGAAAACAACGAUUUUUACCACUGUUCAAACUGUUUUUCAAACUGCUUUACUAUUGAAAUGUUUUACAAACUGUUUUACUAUCCAAACUUACUUAUAGACUGUGAUUCAAACAAAUGCUUCUUAUACUUAAACUGUUUUAUCAACUUAUGCCUUCAAAAUGUUUUAUAGAUCGACAUCAAGUCGAUCUUCUCUUGAAAUUAUAUUUAUGCUUCAAAUGUUUUAUGAAAACUUAUUUAUGCUUUUAUAUAUCCAAUUGCAUGCCCAUAUAUGUAUAGAUAUAUAAAUAAUGUUUAAAGGGCUUAGGAAGGCCAUCCGCCCUAUUUCCUUUUCCUCGAUUUGGAUGUGGUCUGGUGGGAUUUCGGGUGACCAUCCGAAGGUCGUUUCCAUAUUACUUAUAUAUCAUAUAUACAUGUAUAGACAUAAAAGUACUUCCAUAUUCAUACUCAUCAGUACAUCAUUAGCUGGUUACCAUCGGGGUAACGCAGGAUCAUACAUAUACAGAUAUACUAGAAACAAUACAUAUACAGAUAUACUAGAAACAAUACAUAUACAGAUAUACUAGAAACAAUACAUAUACAGAUAUACUAGAAACAAUACAUAUACAGAUAUACUAGAAACAAUACAUAUACAGAUAUACUAGAAACAAUACAUAUACAGAUAUACUAGAAACAAUACAUAUACAGAUAUACGAGAAACAAUACAUAUACAGAUAUACGAGAAACAAUACAUAUACAGAUAUACGAGAAACAAUACAUAUACAGAUAUACGAGAAACAAUACAUAUACAGAUAUACGAGAAACAAUACAUAUACAUGAAUACGUAACAAUUGUGAUCCACUGUAUCGGGCAUGCCUUAAAUGUCAUGGCCCGAGUUGUAGCCAGAAUUCUCUUGGAGGGAGAGCGUGAGUUUGCGUAUAGAUCUAUACUGGAUUGACUAUCCUACACCUUGCUGCUAGCUACAGCCGGACCUGCAGGUCUGCGGGUGCCAAACGUCAUUUCUUUUUACGACCGUUCAUUAUGUCGUUGAUUAUCAGUCGAUAGCAUGGUGCAAUUAAUCACAUUAUGCCUUAAUAUAAAUCCGGUUUAAGGUAGUAGUAUUUAGUACAAUAGUAGUCUUAUUAUACAAAGCUACAGUACUACAAUGAUUUACCCAUUACAUAUUUUAGUGAUAAUCUCAUUUAAGCAUUAGUGUACAAAUUAUAUUUUUAACACAUGAUAGUUAUACUUGGGUAAUUACAUACUUUUACAACAGAAAAGUUUACAAAACAGCCUAGCCUUGGUAGAAGGUUACUUUUAUAGAAAAUAUAGGAUUUUCUGAGUGAUUCAAACUUUUACAAACACUUUCAAACAUUUACUUACAUUUUUACAACUUAUACAUUGAGACAGGUUCAAACGUUUUUACAAGAAACCUUGACACUAAAAUACUUAUGAACUCACCAGCUUAAUGCUGAUAAACUCUUUCAAAAUAACUUGUAUUCUCAGGUCAUCAGUAGACAGGUACCGAGGCCAGCUUUUGAGAAGAUGGAGUGCAUUCAAGACUCAUCUCAUAUUAUUUUGUGUUUCGUUAUUUUUGGUGUCUAUAACUGUACAGAACACACUUGUAUUGAAAUUAUAUAUUUAAUGCAAUGGAUGAUGUUGUUUGCUUAUUUACAUUUACUGUGUUGUGAUACUUUACAUGACGUCCUCCGCCCCAGAACGUUUCCGCCGUUCUUGGUUUUGGGGUGUGACACAUAGCUUACCACACCGUGGUGACCUUCUCACCACGGUAUGGGGACGGGUUUAAAAAAUUCCAAUCCAGCUUUAAACAAUCACAACUUCUUGGUUUUAGACCCGUUUUCAAUGAUAUUAAUAUACACUUGAAGGUAUUAACAAGCCCUACAGUUCUAUCCAAUUACUUUUGGCAUAAAGCAUACCGAACUUGAUUCAUUAAUACAUGCAAAAGUCCACAAUAUCAAUUUUUCCCAUUUUACCCCUUUUGUUCCAAUACACAAUUCAGGACUUAAAUCACUUAACUAACAUUAUCAAGAUCUACCCUUGAAGCUCAAGACCUUUACUUGAUGAAAUUACUGUCUACUAUCUCGAUAUAAGAAACUUUCCGAAACUGGGUGUUACACGUAUUUCCAAAUAAUUUUUACAAAUUCCAAAAAGCUAUAUAUGGUCUUAAACAGGCUCCUCGGGCCUGGUAUGAAACUCUAACAUGUUUUCUUAGGCGUUCAGGUUUUUAAAGAGGUUACUUUCUUUGAAUUUCUUCUUCUUACAUGUCAUAGUUUUCUUGCAAGUCAUUUGUUUAUUUAAUUAAAACACGAGUUACGAUAUGUGAGCAUAAGUAUAAAAUAAGUGAGAGAAGCUAAACUAAGUAGUUCAUUUUCUUCCUUUUUCUAUAGAAAGACAAAACCAAGAGUGCUCCAGUGUCCUUUCUAUAUAUCUCUUGCAAUCUCAUUGCUUGAAUAUAGUGGUUGAGUUUGUUUUCAUUUAAAGACUUAUUUAAUAUAAGAAUUAGAAGCUUAAGAACAACUCCAUAUAAGUUUAGGACUAGCAUUUGUUGGUGGCUUUGGUAAUUUGUUGGAUGGAUACACAGAGAGAUUCUAGCUUGGAUCUUUUUCUUCUUCAUGAACUUUCUAGCCUCCCCUUGAGUAUUCAGAGGACUACAAAGGUUUUUAAACUUUUACCUCAUCCAUUUUAUUUCCAAUCUUUACAUGUAGAUCCUUUGUUGGGAAUAAAACUAUAUUAUGUUGUUCAAAUUUUAAAGUCCUUCGUUGCUAAUCUUGUGUUUUAGAUACAAAUUUUGAAUAAAAUCUCAACAAUUGGUAUCAGAGCCGUCUUGUAUGCAUAUUUAGAAUUUAUGAUUAUUUGCAUAAUCUUUGUUUUUGGAAAAUAUGGAUAACUUUGUUUAUGUUAAAAGCAAAUCCGUACAUAUUUUCUAUGACAACUAGACGACUUUCGUUUCUUGUGAUAAACGUUUACAUGUAUAUUUUUAUUAUUUAAGGUUUUCUUACAAAAACGAAGUUCUUUUUUAUGUGUUGAUAUAUAUUUAGAGUGCAUAAAGAACCCAUAGACCUUAUUAUGUUGUUGUUUGUGAUGAUUCAUUAAAAUGGUUGUAAUAUUCUUUUAUUAAUAUGAUAUUUACUAAUAAAUAGCUAGUUUUCAUCUUUGUUAUUUUAUAAGUAAUAUACUAGUAUUAGAACAGUUUUUAUUUUAUAUAAAAUGUAACAAUAUGAAGAUGAUGGACAUUUUGAAGAUCAUGCUGAUACCCAUAGGUUUAUAAGGAUUUUAUAAAAGUUCAUAACUUUUGUAAAAGUCUUAUAAGUUUGCUACAAAGUAGAUUGCCAGAGAAAGUGGAAGCAUGAAUAACAACAUGAAGAUUUUGGUCCACUUUGUCCUUUAGGGAAGGACUUGACUCUUUUAUGCUGGCUCAUAAAAGUUUCACCAAAUCAUGACUUGUUUUAUGCCUUUAUGCAUGAUUGUGUUGUUUAUUUAAAAUGUUGAUUAUUAUGUGUGGUUGAUAAAUUAUUUUUCAUAUGCUUAUAUAGUUUCUGAACAAAAUAAACAUCAAAAUAAGUUUUUAAUAUAAAACUUGUAAACAUAAGAUGUAUAAAGUUAUGGUUUUAAUAUGAAAGGUUAUCUAUAAAAACCUUAAUAACAACAAGUUUUGAAAAUAUUAAAUUUUAUAAAUCUAAAAUUGAGAUAUUGUAACUUAUCUAAACUCCAAUUUCUUAAUAAUAAAUUAAAGUGUUAUUAAAAGAUAAAAAAAUUUCUAUAAUGCUCAACUUCAAACUUCAUAUUAGAUAUUAACUUUAAAAUUAAACUGCGUCAAAUUAUAUAAAAACUAGAUAUUGUACCUAGUCCUAGCCUUGCUAUAGGGAUGAAGAUUAAUAAAGCAUAUACUUGAUUAUCAUAUAAAGAUUACAUCUCAUUGUUCCUAACUCAAAGUCAUUUAUUAGGUUCAAAGUCUGAUAUAAUGUUUUGGUAGUUGAUGGAUUUGCCAGAAACCAUUAAGAAAACUCAUAAAUGAGAGAUUCUAUAUUUUUCAUGUUAUAGAUGAUUCCUACCAUAUAUACAAACAAUUUGUGUUUAUGACUAGGUAUUAGUUACGUUCACCAAUUGCUUGUUAAAACCAGUGCCAACUGUUCUUACGUGAGGCUUUGGUUCUUGAGUUGUUUCAAGUUCUAUGUGCCUCCCAAUUGCCUUGUUGUUAGAAGCUUUCUUUUUGAUAACUUGGCUUUCAAAGGAACAAGAGAAGUCAUUCUUGGUGGGCUUGUAUAAAAUAAUCUAAGCAACCUUUUAGAAUAUUAUACAAAUAUAUACUUAGUAGAUUUUAGGUUUAGAAGCUUUAUUCUAAUAUAGCUUUCAAAUCCAAAACAUUUAGUAUGAUAAGAAUGGAGUCUUUCCAUACUAAAUCUUAUAAAGUGAUUUAUGUAAUCAUUAGUUAGUGUAUGUACUCAAGACACAAAUGAUUGUGACUAAAGCAUAAUCCGAAAAGAAUAAAUGAGGAUAAUUUCUAUUAAUUAGAAAAUAAACUGUAUCUAGUAAGAUUUAAUUCAUUAUUUAUUAUCUCUAUGGUUUUAGAUGGUUCUAUUGGUUUGUAUCUCAACUUUAUAUUUGACAACCUCUAGAAAGGUUUCAUAAUUAUUUUUAACAGGUAAAAUAUAAUUACAAUGACUAUAGUUAUUAAUAAAGUUGAUUAUGUAUCCUGUACUAAAUCUAUGAUUCUUUAAUAAUUAUUUUCUCUAUAGUAUAGUGAAAUUAGGAUUCUUUUAUAUAUAAAUAAGAUUCACACAGGUUAAAUAAACCAUAUUAUUUUCCUUCAAAAUUCUAUUUCUUGAAGUUGGAAUAUGUGUAUAUCAUUUAUAUAAUAAAGAUAAAAAUGUAAUAGAUAAGUUUUAUUCAAAUCAAGUUUGAAUCAAAAAUGUUUUCAUGAACUUAUUAUUUAUAAAACAUUGAUAUUUACUUUAUAAUUCUAUUAAAAGAUUUUGUACUCAAAAACUAAAUUUAAUCAUUUUAGAAUAUGAAUGCGAUCGUUAUGAAAAAUGAUUAAGUAAAUAAUGAAUCAUCUAAUAAAGUAACUGAGACAUAUAUAUUUACACAGGUUAAAUUAAAAGAUACAUUGUUCCAAAAAAAAUAUCAUUUUUCAUUGCAAGUACUUUAUGUUCUAAACAUAAGUAAUAAACUAAACUCCAAGACUAAAGUUCCAACUUGCAUGUGCUCAACUGCUUACUCUUUUUGAAUAUUUCUAAAAAUUUACGAAUAUUAGAUUAACAUUAAGUAUCAAGUACUUGAUUGUUAAAUGAAAAGUAAAAUUUCUAGCUUGUAGAUACCUGAUUUACUGGUCCGACUAGUCCUACUCAGAUAAGAUGGACAAUUCCUCUUCCAGUGUCAUAUUUCUCUAUAAUAGAAACAAUAUCCAUCUUUAUGGGCCUUUCUGGAUUUCUUGGGCCUAAAUGUGUCCUUUCCAUGAAAUUUGGGUAUCUUAGAGCACAAAAGGUGUAUCUCUUCAACCUUGCAUUAAUCUUCCAUUUUUUGAACUGGCUCAAACCAAAUAUCGUUGUAUUGAUGGAAUAUCUAAUAUACAUUUAAAUUAUCCAAGACUUCCUGGAAGUUCGGAAUAAUUAUUUUGAGUAUGAUGCCAGAAACAUGUAGAUCAUCACAAUGAUGCCUCAACCAGAUAUCAUGUUCAGGUCUUUUUCUUAAAGCAUGUGGUUUAGGAAUAGGGCUUUUAAGAAUGUUAUUAUUUCAAGUAGAUUAGCAAGUGAAAUAUGAUGCAUGGUAAUUAGAUCAGAUUUUGUUUUUAUCUACAAAAUUUUAACAAAAUUCAUUUAGUAUUUUAAAUAUUUAAUCUUCAAUGACUAAUAUCGUUAAGUUAAAAAAAACAUUAAUUAUCAAAAUCUAUGAUCCAAACUGCAAAAUAAAUAAAUGGUUAGGUGACCUUUAUCAUAUUCAUUGAAUUCAACAAGGUAGAUAUCAAGUAUCAAUUAUAUUCUAUUAUAUAAUUCCUAUCAUUAUGUGAUCACUAAUAAGAAAGUUUAAUAGACACGUUUGAUAACAUCUAUACCUCUAAUCUGUAUUGCUUAGUUGACCUUUAUCAAAAUAGAUUUCCGAUCAAAUCUUCCAGUUUGAAGAAAUUGCGUAAUCAACAUAUAAGUAGGUUAUAGAAAUCGCAAAUACACCCCCAUCACCAAAAGAUAACAUUAGCGGUUAGGUGACCUUUAUCCCACUAGCACAUACAAGUGACGAACAAGUCAUAUUCGAAUAGGAUUGUAUAGAUUUGAGUUUAAAUAAGGGGUUUUCCAUGAUUUAUAAUUCUAGUUUAAAAAACAUGAUAUACCAUAGUUAUUGCAUGCAUCCAAUAAGCUAUGAUACACUUUUAUCUAAAAUCACAUUUUAAUAAUGUUCUUUUAUAAAAUCUAAAUUUGAUAUAUUCGACACGAUCAAAUUUCAAAUUUAAUAUCUAGUGACUAGUAUUAAGUUUGAACAUUUGAGCGCCAAAGAACAUUUAUAACCCAUUUAAUAAAACUACCUUUUAUAAAUAAGGUUUGGAGUUUGAUAAGUCUCCAAAAUCUCAAUUUUAAACUUAUAUAAUUUUAGUCUUGAAAUGUACCUUUUGCUAGUUUUUAAACGAUAAAACUCAUUUUAUUUUUAGAAUUAUCUUACCAUCUUAUGUUAAAAAAUAAAUUUCAUUAAAACCAAAAUCCUUGUGAUGUUAUUUAUGUUCACAUAUUAUUUUGAAUGUGAAAUAUAAAUUUAAGAAUGAUAACAUAAUAUCAACAUAAACAUAAACAACACAAGCAUCUGAAACAUAUGUGCAUAAACCAACCAUAAACUAGAGAUAUUCUAUGAGCCAUCACAAAAUAUCAAGUCCAUUCCUAAGGGACAUAAAGAUAUCAAUCUUGUAUUAUCUUCACGCUCCCACUUGCUUCAACACCUUGUAGCAAGUUUAUAAAAAAUAAUUUUACAAAGUUUAUAAAACUUUAAUAAAAUCAAGUUUAUAAACUUUUGAUCUUCAAGAUGGCCACCAUCUUGAUUCUUGUUACAUUUCUAUAAAAAUAAAGUAUUUCUAAAACUAAUCUAUUACAAGUGUGUUAUAAUCCAUCUCAUAGCUAGUUACAUUGCAACUAAAUAGUUGGUCUAAGUGCCCAAAAAUUUGUACACAACAUAUAUAUAUAUAUAUAUAUAUAUAUAUUCAUACCUUAUGAAUAUAAUUAGUUUUUGUUUUCUGUUGUUAUUAUUUCCUAAAACUAAUAAUUCUCAAUAUCUUAGUAAAACAUAUUUUCAUAAAAUAAUGAUUUUCUAAUUAUAUACAAGUGUUAAUUAUAUUUAUUAACAAUCAGAUUACUUUAAUAAAUAAUCAAUUUGUAUUAACUUGCUAUAAUGUGUGAACCUAUAAGAUCAUAUGUCAUUAGCAAAUAUAAUUCUAUAAUAACUCUUGUACAUAAAGAUUUUUCAUAUUGUACAUGUCAACUUUCUUAUAAAUUGUUAUUGAGCCCUGACAUUUGGCUACCCCCUUCAAAAGGAUUUAUUAGUCACGCGCCCAUUUUGUUUCUAUUUCACCGCCCAAAGGUUCUAGGGUUCGAGAGAGAAAUUCCUACUAUAAGGAAGGGAAGAAGGUAAUCCAAUUAGUAGAAUGUUGCUUUCUAUCGGUUGUUCACAUUCAAACAUGAGUUAGUUCAGAGUCACCACCCUUUUGACACCUCCCUAUUAUUACAAAUCACUAGGGUAAUACCCGUGUAAAACAUGGUUUGACAACUUAAAUAACAAAAAUAAUACAUUGUAAAUGACUUAUUAUAAAAAUAUAAACAACGAAAUUCAAAUCUAUGUAUAUAAAUAAAAACUAAUAAAUCAAAAAACAAAUAAGAUUUAGAUUGUAAACUGAUAUUUUAGUGAAAGAUCUAACUUUCAUAUUUGGAGUUUGUAAUUUCAUGAUGAUAAUUUUAAUAAAUUAUUCUUGGUUAUAUGGGAUGCACCAUAUCAAAAAUGAAAUUUAUCAAAGACGAAUUAAAAUUUCUUCCUUAUAAUAAUAGAUAGAGAAGAAUUGAAGGUUAGGAAAAUAAAGAAGCGAAAUUGGGGGAGAUAAGCAAAAUAACUUUGUAGAAGCUAUUUUGAAGGAAAUCGUAACUCUUACAAGAAAAAUUCCCGCUGCUACCAUUGUAGCAACAUGUAUAAGGGUCGAAAUAGGAGUUAGCCCUUCCAUUGCAUCAAGUAACCAUACAUGAAGGGGAAAUUGUGCAGAUUUCGCAGUUGCACCAGCAAAUAAUAGAAUAGCACACAAAGUAACAAAUAAAAAAAUGACCUCAUUAUUAGAAAUCAAGUUAUUUAUUAGAAAUCAAGUUAUUGAAGAUUUGGAAUAAAUCACGAAAUUCGAAACUCCCCGUUAUCCAAUAAAACCCUAAAAUGCCUAAUAAUAAACCAAAAUCGCCAACACGAUUAGUUACAAACGCCUUUUGACAAGCCUUUGCUGCAACAGGUCGUGUAAACCAAAAUCCUAUUAAUAGAUAUGAACAUAUUCCAACUAAUUCCCAAAAAAUAUAAAUUUGUAUCAAAUGAACUAGUAACUAAUCCCAACAUGGAAGUACUGAAAACACUCAUAUAAGCAAAAAAUCUCAAAUAUCCGUGGUCAUGAGACAUAUAAUUAUCACUAUAAAUAAGAACCAUAAUUCCAACAGUAGUGAUUAAUAUUAACAUAAUAGAAGUAAGCGGGUCGAUCAAGUAUCCGAAUUCUAAAGAAAAAUCAUUAUUGAUAAUCCAAGACCAUACAUAUUGAUAGACAUAACUGCUAUUUAUUUGCUGAAUAGACAGAUUCAUGGAAAAAAUCAUGACUAUACUUAACAAUAAAACACUCUGAAAAGACCACAUACGACGAAGACUUUUUGUUGCCGUCGGAAAAAGAAGAAGUCCCAACCCUAUUAACAUAGGAACUGGAAGUGGAAGGAAAGGUAUUAUCCACGCAUAUUGAUAUGUCUGUUCCAUAAAAAAAGUUUUUUAUUCUUAAUUAAUUGUUUCCGAUUCACCGGAUCUUACCUCGUUCGAAAAAAGUCAAUAAAAAAUCAAGAUAUGCACUAACUUAUUUAAUAAUUUUAAAUAAUUUUAGAUUAGUAUUUAUUCUGAGUCUUUUCAGAAUCGUUCAAAUCAAAUAUUCAAAACAAGAAGUUACAAUUGGUCAAAUGAGAUGACCAAGUUAGAUAUAAAAAUGAAUACUUAUAACAUGAAAAUGCAAAUCUAAAUUAUUAUUACGAGAAAUUCUCGUAAUAAUAAUUUAGAUUCAUAGAGCAAGGAUAAAAAAUUACGCUAAAAAGAGUACUUGAUGCUGAUAUGAAUUAUAGGAUUAACUAAGGUCAUCGGUCUAAUGAAAUAAAAACUCUUGAGUUUAGUUAGUUUCUUUCAACGCAUUAACUAAUUCAUUAUGGGAUUGAUUGUUUUCCAUUUCAAUCAAAACGAUUUCUUAGUAAACGUUAGAAUAUUAUAGAUCUAAAAUGAACUUUUUUUAUCGAGAAAGGGUAAAAAACGCCUGAGAUAUUUUUUUAUCAAACCACGUAUCCUUUAACAGAUUUAUUAGUAAUCUGAUUCGAAUUUCAAAAUUGAAUUUAGGUGUAUUCUUUUCUCGAGUUUGACUAAAAAAAGACUCAAGUUUUUUAGUAGGCAAAAGUUUACAAUUGAGGUAUUUUAUUAGUUGUAAAUAAAGUCUAGAAUGACGAAAAUCAAGGUCUUUUAGGUUCUUUCUUUAUUUUUAUUAAAUCAUUAAGUUUCAUUUCUAUGACCUAGCAGAUUCUAAAGAUAUAAAUUUGAGAGGAGAACUAAGAGUUCCAAACCAAAAAUUUUUGGUUUGACAAAUCUUGUAUGGAAUCAAAAUUUUAUUAUUUCGAGUAAUUUUUGAUCCAAUUUAACGGAUCUUUUACAUAUCUAUAUUUCUUUUUUAUGAAGAGAAUAUUAUUUAUAGAAAAAAUAGAUAAUGAAUAAGAAAUAAUAAUUUGUUUUGAAUAAUAGAUGUCUUUCACAUCCAACUAUAACAAUGAUUUUCAAAUGGCAGUUCCAAAAAAACGUACUUCUAUAUCAAAAAAGCGUAUUCGUAAAAAUAUUUGGAAAAGGAAAGGAUAUUGGGCGGCGUUAAAAGCUUUGUCAUUAGGGAAAUCUCUUUCUACUGGGAAUUCCAAAAGUUUUUUUGUGCGACAAACAAAUAAGUCCUAAAAUAUUGGAAUAAUCGGAAUGGAUUUGACUCACAAAUUUGGCUCAAUACUUUUUGAAUAUGAAAUUAACAAUGGGCAGUCCCUAUUCUAAUCAAUAAGAAAUAGACCAGUACAAGAUUUUUUAUUUCUUUGUAGUAUAUUUUCACUAAUAUUUUUAUGGUGGGAAGUCUUAUUUUCCCCAUCGACCUUUACAAUAAUGAACAAUUUUUCUCUUUCUCUGGAAGGGCAGAUAUAAUAUUUUAGUUCA